rnacentral:lncRNA from 1 species
GAUGCAGUGGGCAAGGCCCAAUAUGUGUUUAUGUGUUAUUGUAUGGUAUGUGGUAGUUUGGGGGAGCUCACUAAGCUUCGUGCUUACAGUUUCAGUUUUGGUUUCAGGUACUUCCGCAAGCAAAGGGAAGAGCUCUGGAUGACGGCAUCACACACACCACCGUUUCAGUUUUAGUUUGGAUUGAUUUAGUUGUUGUUUUGGAUAUAGCAUGUUACAUUUUCCGCACAGUACUUUAUUAUCUUUUGAGACAUAUCACGCAUGGUUUAUUUAUAUGAUACUCUGAUUAUAGUUUUGAUGGUAUUAAAAACGAAAUUUUUGGGUCGUAUUUUUGGGUUGUUUCAAUCUUCAUCUUCUCUCUAUGAAAUCAUCUGACUUGGUUAUCGGAGCCUCGUUUCGGGACUUCCUGCCGAACGAGGACUGACGGACUUGUUCUUUUGCUGUGAUUCUCAGGCACUCCAUCCCUUCCAUCAAAGAGAGGGAACUAAGCCGAAGACUUGUCACAAUAACUAUCGUGCAUUAUGAUUCGGCCCAACAAAGUCUAAGUCGAAAACAUGCGUUGCGUUCCAACUCGGCUUUUAAAAAAAAGUAAUAGGAAAGACGGAAGUUUGCUUGAAAAAAAAUACCACAUCUCCACUUCUUAAACGAAAAAAAUAAAAAUAAAACAUGGUGGUUUCCAUUUAACCCAUGUAUAUUAAUACAUUUCAAAGGAAAUGGAAAGGAAUUUGGGCUCAUUAUUUAAAGAUGAGCUCCUUCUAAUUUAUUUUGAGCUCCUCCCAAAUGGGCUUCAAUAUAUUAUGUUAGGUUUCUUCUAAAUGGGGUUUCACGUUAUUGGGCUAUAAUAAUAUUAUGGGCCAUUUUUCAAGAUAAAUCCAUUCAAUCAACCGUUCAUCGUUCGUGUGUUGCGAUUUCAUCCAAUAAAAUUCGAUUUUAGAAGAUGUUUUGCGGUCCAGUCCAUUCGACAACUUUUCAAAAAAAAAGCGGGGGGGGGGGGGGGGGGGGNNNNNNNNNNNNNNNNNNNNNNNNNNNNNNNNNNNNNNNNNNNNNNNNNNNNNNNNNNNNNNNNNNNNNNNNNNNNNNNNNNNNNNNNNNNNNNNNNNNNNNNNNNNNNNNNNNNNNNNNNNNNAGAAGAGUAGUGCACUACUACUGCUACUCCAUGAAGCGUUUCAGAGCAUGAUCGCUAGAAAGGCUCAAGUGAGUUAAGGCUUGAACGUGCAAACACAAGCCAAUAUCAUACAUCCAUUCGUUCUCACUCCUCACCUUUUCUAAAAAAAAUAGGAGUAGGAGGGUUAGCACGACACUAUGUAGAAGUGAUUUUUAUUCCAAAGGGCAGAGUUAAAGUAAAUGAAGAGAUAAUACUAUGUAUGAUAGUGCAUUCCCGAGGUGACAUUAAUAUUCCGGAUCGAAAGAGUAGCCUCAUGGUUCAAACCUCGGUAGUCUCAUUUUCCCAACUCUUAGUAGUCGUGUUGUUCAUCUAUUACUAGCAACUCACUGCCCAAUUCUUAGCGUCUCUGUUGUGCAGCUCACGACAGUAAUCCCACUACACACCUCUUGACAGCAGCUCCACCGUCCAGCUAUCAUUAGCCUCGCUGCAUAGCUAUCGAAAAAAUCAUUAGAAGACGAGGCACCAAUCGUCACUACAGCUAAUGAUGCAGCAAAAGCAUUAGGUGCUAUUACACUUCAGCCCAAACUGUUCACCCGAGCCAGAGCACAUAGAUUGUAGGCUGCUACGCCCAAUCUGCAAGGUUUAGCACCCUUUCCUUGAGUAGCCUAGCUUCUAAGCCCCACUCCAUUAUAGCGGAAAGCUUCGCCUACAAGGUUCAUUACCCUUGCCUUGAGUCGCCUAGCUUCUCAGCUCGACUCCAUUAUAGCGGCAAGCUAUACCUGUAAGGUUCAACACCCUUGCCUUGAGUCGCUUGGCUUCUCAGCCCGACUCCAUUAUAGCGACAAGCUCCGCCUACAAGGUUCAGCACCCAUGCCUUGAGUCGCCUGGCUUCUCUGUUUGGCUCCAUUACAGGGGCAUGCUCCGCUAACAAGGUUCAAAGGCAAGCAACCUUUGCCUAUAUGAUUCCACGCGAUGAUCUCCCGCGUGAUGUAUCUAUGAUUGUUGGCAGCUAAGUCCGAUCUAUUCCACGUGAUGCUCUCCUGUGUGAUGUAUCCAUGAUCGUUUGCCGUUAAGCCCGAUCUGUUCCACGCGAUGCUCUCCCGCAUGACAUCUUCAUGAUCGCUGACUGCUAAGCCUGAGUUAUUCUUCUAAGCCGCACAAUAUAAGUCACUUAUUGUCACGCACCAUAAGCCGUGCAUCAUAAGUUUAUACCAUGCCUAGCACCACACUCUUGGUGUUUCUUCUCCCACAAACAUCAUGGUUUUCUUGUGCUCGGACGAUCAAUAAAGCAUUUUCUACAUUACAUCCCACUAUAGUGAGGUUAAUCUCCAGCAAGAAUGUUAUCACAACAACAGCCUGCUACCUACAACCUUUUAGCAUCUCCGUUGGCUAGAUCUCGACAACAAUCUUGCUUUUCAACCCCUACCUAUAGCCUUGCCGCUCAUCCCUUGGCAUCUCUGUUUCCUGGCUCUCAGCAACAGUCUCGUUGUGUAUCCCCCACCUAUAGUCUCGCCGCUUAUCCCUCAGCGUCUCUAUGCCCUAGCUUUUGGUAAUAACCUCUCUGCGUAACCCCCACUAGCAACCUAAUCACCCAGCCCUAGAACCUCUGCCACCUAUUAUAUGGUCAAUAACCUUACGGUUUAUCCGUUUGACAACAUCCAUCUCAGACAAGAAUCUUGCUACUUUUUAUUAUGCUAACAACUUCAUUGUGUAUUGUUAUAACAACCAUGCCUUAUUCACCAUAGUCUGAUCCGGAUACCUAUGUUACCUACAUCAGACUGGGGGGAUCCAACUAGGUACAACCCAAGCAGGAAACACCUUCAGGAUGGUUAUUAAUGCUCAUGCAAAGCAGACUAUAUAGAUGGUUAUCAGUGACAUUCCAUCUGCGCUGCACACUCAUAUGGCAGCCUUGAUAUACAUGUCAUCAUCAGUAGCAACCUUAAUGCAUGACUACAACAACUUCAUCGGAUAACAGUCUUAUGGACUGAAUGGCGAGCUUACACUUCAUAGCUACCUUGGCUCGAUGCCUUAUUAACAUCAUUGUUGCAUAACAGCCCCACUCCGCAUAACAUUAUCAGUAGCCUCGCGCUGCAUGAUCGCAGUAACAACUACGUUGCAGCACAUCGACCGUAUCAUAUUCCUGACAAGAAAAGAUCAUUAACCCAACUCUCGCUGCAUAAACCCAUGCCCGCCUCAUCGUGCAACACCACAACUCUUGUAGGCAAGGUUCGGUUGUUCUUUUUAUUCUUUGAUAUAUUGGUUCUUUGUCUAGUCCGAUCCGAUUGUCAGCAAUCCAAUCACAUUAGACUAGGGGGACUUGAUGACAUAGGGUUUAUAUGACAGAGUCCAGUCCAAUGAUAUUGGUCGCUUACCAAUAACAUCGGACUGGGGGACUUAAUGAUAUUAGGUCCAUUAGCAUGGUCCAGACGACUCUGGCGCGCCAGCCUUGCCUGACGUUCCCUUGCUAGCCUUUCUUGACACUCUCAUGUCGACCCGACUUGACACUCCCUUGCUAGCCUUUCCAGGUGUGUGCCUGCCAGCCUUGCCUGGUGCGCGCUCGCCAGCCUCACCCAAUGCCCCUCGGCCAGCCUUGCCCAACUCCUUGCUAGAUGGGCCUCAAUUGGGCUGGCCCAAGGCCUAACCUAAUUCCCUUUGACCUAAUUGUCCUGUAUAAAGUGAACAAUAUCUCCUCCAUAAAGAGGGAUCUUCCCCCUUGGCUCAGCCGCUGUCUUAGACUCCGACCGGGUGGCUCAGCUGCCACCCUCCGCCUUCAGCCACCAUACAUUACCUCCAUCGCCAAGAUGGUUCUCUCCAGCUAAGGAGAACCACCUCACUUCUACCAACCGAUCUAACUUGAUCGUCAGAGCUCGAGGCACAGUCCCUGAGACGGUUUUAACGAUCUUGUCUGUUGUGACCUCGCAGAUUUCCUCUGGCGUAGGAGCACAUCAUUAGAGCAAGUGGUCGGAAUGUUGCAUCACACUUAAAAGAAACAUCACUACAACAAUUAUUUUAAACAAUUAAUGAAAACAUAAUAUAUUUAUUAGUAUAAAUUUUAACGUAAUGACAAAAACAUCUCCAUUCCAAUAGUAACAAAAUGUUAUUUUACAUCUUAUUAAUUUACUAUUAUUGUUUUUGACUACUUUAUUACUUUAUUUAUUUCAAAAAGUACAAAAUAAAAAUGAAUGGAGUUGACAAAGUUUGUGAUAAUAAAUAAAAAAUAUUUUGGCUAAUUUAAGAUGACACUAUUUAUAACAGGUUGGGCUCAUAUGCAUUAAAGCCACCAAUCUUUCAAGCCCAACAGCUUCAUAUCUGUUCUGUUCAUAUUAUCGACCCUACCUUCUUCCGCAGCUACUUCGCUGUUGGUGGCUGACAAGGUUCUUCUGUGGUGUUGUUUGUUGUGUGGACUAUCUCCCGUUAAAAAUGGCGUACGCGGUGUUGAAGCGAUCUUCCAUGAUGAAGUCAAUGAUCGGAGAAUCAUGGCGGAGGUUUGCUUCCGUUGCAGUAGGUAGCGAUCUUGUAGCAGCCGCUCCCAAUGUUUCUCUCCAGAAGGCUCGGUCAUGGGAUGAAGGCGUCUCCUCCCAAUUCUCCACCACUCCUCUUUCUGACAUUUUCAAGGUCUGUUUCUUAGCUACUACACCCAAAUCGGAAUUGGAAAUUUAGGGUUUGUGAGCUUACUUUACUGUUCGAUAUAUUUUCAGGGCAAAAAGGUCGUCAUCUUUGGGCUUCCUGUAAGUUUGUCUUUAUUCGAUAAUAUAUGUUCAAUUUCGAUCAUUUACAUGGGGCAAUUCGUAAAAGCAUCGUCCUUUUACUCAUUUCUAAUUUGAUUUUAUUAAUGGGCUUACAAAUCUUGAUUAGACCCAUUUAACUUUUCGAAAACUGAUUAUUUUUUGAUAAGUUUUGAUCGAAACCCUCAAAAAUUAUCCAUGCCUUUAACAAAUUGUGAGAUUAGUAAGGGAAAAACAAUUCAUUUCAGUUUGGUAGUAUAAUAUUUAGGUAUUAUCUGAUAUUAUUGGAUAUAUUCAUUGUAGUUUGUUGUUUAUAAUUGCAUCUGCUCAAUUUCACUUAUGAGCACUCUAUUUAUUGGUGAAACAAAAAAAUUAAAACAUUGAUUAAAUGGAUUGAUCGAUGCUUUAAAUAUCUUAAUGAGAAUACAUCUCUUCAAGAGAUAAUCUUUUGGGACAACAUCAAUUUUAAAGUUUUAGGCAUCCUUAUAACAUGUAGAGAUUAAUGACUACUUUAUGCUGAACAAUGUGAUAGAAUUUAGAGAAGUCAUGUGUAACUUAUUCAAGUACUUGACUAUGGAAGUGAAGUUAAAUUACUUAAACCUCAAUUUGUAGAAUUUUAUGAUUUUUGUUGACCUACAUUGCUAAAAGAGUUCAUAUUGUUUAUUCAUAUAAAGACAAGAUUUUCUUAUUUGACUUCAACAAAGAAAAUUAUGACAAGGGUCUUAUAUCUAGAAAAAAGGUGUAUCUUUUAUGUAUUUUGUUUUUUCCUCAACCAUUUACCAUAUUUUAUUCUCCUUUUUUUGAAAUUAUAUAUUUUCACAAACUUACCUCUUAUAACGGGUUUGGGGAUAUUUUCAAAAGUUAUGUUUUGAAAAUUUGGGUAUAAAUUUUAGUUUAGCCCAAAGUCGAUCAUAACUGGUUGAAAGAAGAAAUGGUAUUAAUCAAUUGACAAAGUGUUGAGAAUACAAAGUUGACACAUCAAUUCGCUGUAAAUUAAUAAUAAUCAGCUGAGUUGUAAUAAAAAAAGAACAAAACGGGUUUGUUAAACAAAUUAUGUUUUGAAGAUGUACGUGAUGAUCAAAUAGAUUUUGACAUGGAUGAAUGACAAGAUUUCAUAAUAUUAUAUGAUAUAUUAGGCAUUUUUGUAAGGCAACUUUAUCUUUAUGACACGUAUAUUUUUCAAUUUGUUUCUUCGGUUUAAUUAGGUCUAAAUGGUAUUGCUUGGAAAUUUCUUUGCUCUAAUAUGUUUACCCGAUUUAAUGAAUGUAGAAAUAUAGAAUGAUUGAAAAACUUAUAAGAUAUUAUAGAGACCUUACAUGCAUGUUAAUUAAUGACAUUUGUUACAUAUAGGUUGUUCCUUUUGUAUUAUGAAACAUAAUAUAGAUAUUUCAUAACACACUUUAAAAGAAUUAUUUACUUUAUAUUUAGAGUAAUAAUUUGCUCGACAAGAUAAUGGGGGAGCUCAGUUUCAUUCAUAUUCUUGUUGGUUGGUGUCUCUUUGUCACACUCAUAGUAAUAUAUNNNNNNNNNNNNNNNNNNNNNNNNNNNNNNNNNNNNNNNNNNNNNNNNNNNNNNNNNNNNNNNNNNNNNNNUAUAUAUAUAUAUAUAUAUAUAUACACACACACACACACACACAUACACACACAAACAUCAUGGUUUUAGAAUUAUCAACACUGAUAUUUUAAAAUGGUGGCAAGAUAGACAACAAAAUGAACUAUUUAGCCAUCAUGUUGUGGGAAAUACUAUGUGUUCAAGCUAGUAUUAUAGCUUCUGAAAGAUGGUUUUCUUUUAGUGACAAGUUAUCAAAUGCAAGGAUGAAGCUUUUGAUGUAGAAUUGAUGCAAGUGUCAUUAAGUCUUAAAGACUAUUACAGUUCGAAUAUGAGAUCACAAAACUAAUCAAUCUUGAAGAGGGCUUGUAUGCAAUCGAAGUAGAUAUCUUACAAGACGAACCAUUUAGCCAACAAAUUAAAAAAAUUAACCACAUCUUAUUUGAAGGCUUAUACAAAGCUUUCCCAAGACUCAACAAUUUUCAAAAGUUGUAGGUUUAGGGAAUGCUUUGUAAGUUGUCCAAAUAAUAUUAUGUGGUUGUUGCUAUCUCAGUUUCUUCUUGUAAGAUUUCUUUCUUCCGUUGCAUCCAAGCCUUCUUCAAGAUUUGAUUAGUUUUGUAAGAUUGAAGUGUAGUAGUAUUUAAGGCGUCAAAUGCAUUUGCAUCGAUUUUGCGUUCAAAGGGUUUCUCUUUGAAUUUUAUAACUUGCCAUUAAGAGAACUGAAGAUUUUCUAAAGCUAUAAUACUAGUUUGGAGAGUUAGUAUGUCAUGAGAAAGAUAGCUAAAAAUCAUGGUGAUGCUUAUCUUACUACCUUUUUAAAAUAUGGAUGCUUGAAGUUUGUUCUCCUAAUCAUUGUUUUUAUAUAAUUUGUUGUCAUAAAUGGAUAACUCAUCUACACUGGAUGAAGUUUUAAAUGUUUACUAGGUGUGGGACCCGUGUAUUACACGGGUUGAUUUAAAAAAAAAUUAAACAUUAAAUUAAAGUGUAAACAGAAAAUAUUUUUUAAUGUAUAACUUUAAAAUAAAAAAGGAAAAAUGUAUUUAUUGCAAUUUAAUAUCAUAUAUAUGAUAUUUAAUACUUUAUAUAUAUGAAUAUAUGACUUUAAUUUUAAAAAUUGAAACAAAUCAAAAAUUGACAAAUGGAAAAUAUUUAUUUCAAAAAUACCACAAAAUGACAAGUGUCAAAACUCAUAAGAGAUUGACAUGUGGCAAAAAAACCUUCAUUUAUUAAGAAGGAUUACCACUAUGUUGUUGAGCUUUAAAUUCCUCUAAAUAUAAAGGAAAUACCUUUUUUUAACACGUGUUAAUAAAUUCUCUAUUACAUUUUAUAACAUCAAAGGACAACCUAAUGUGUCACAAACUCACAAUAUCCUUUAAUCAACAAAUAUUUAGCAUAUCUCUUGAUGAUGGGGUUUACUCCUCCAACAAUUAUAAAAAGCGUCAUCAACCCUUGAAAUUAUUUCAUAAUUUUUUUCUCUUAUUAAAAGCAUUUUACUUUAUAAAAUCUUCUCAGUUGUAGCAUGUUGUAGUUUCAACUUUUUUUGGAGUUGGAUGACAUUGCUAUAACUACAUAUAUAUANUAAUAUAUGUAUGUAUAUAUAUAUAUAUAUAUAUAUAUAUAUAUAUAUAUAUAUAUAUGUCAAAGUAUUUUAAAUUGAUUAAGAACAAAAUAAAGCAAAAUUUUGACUAUCUUGAUAAAUAAAUAACCUUUGCUUUUGGUUCUUGGAAUUUUGUAUAUUUAUUUAUACAGGGUGCAUUCACAGGAGUUUGUACAGCUCAGCAUGUUCCAAGUUACAAGAAAAACAUUGACAAAUUCAAGGCAAAAGGCAUAGACUCAGUCAUAUGUGUAUCUGUUAAUGAUCCUUAUACCAUGAAUGGCUGGGCUGAAAAGCUUGAAGCCAAAGAAGCCGUAAGUUUUUCUUUAUUCUUUAUUCAAACAUAUUAUUUAUUUUCCUCAUAAAUUCUAUCUUUUUAACAGUUUCACAUUACACCUUUUUGCAGAUUGAAUUUUAUGGAGACUUUGAUGGUAAAUUCCACAAAAGCUUGGAUCUGGAAUUAGAUCUCAGUGCCGCUUUACUUGGACAUCGCUCCACUAGGUACAACUCGUACUGUCAGUGUGACUGUGACUGUGACUGAUUGAAUGUGGUAUAUUUUUGACAGAUGGUCGGCAUUUGUUGAAGAUGGGAAGAUUAAGGCUCUAAAUGUGGAGAAUGUUCCAUCUGAAUUCAAGGUUUCAGGGGGAGAAGUAAUCUUGGACCAAAUAUAGAGAGUUGAUUGUAUUGGAUAAUACACUUCUCUUAACUUUUGAAUAAAGCAAUGUACAAUAUAUACCAUCUUUCUUUUGAGCCAUAGGUGUAAAAUGAAUUGCAAAUUGCGAGAAAAUAGCAACGUAUUGUUUGUGAUAAUGAUUUUAUUUCAGAAAACGCCUUUAAACAAAAAGGCAAAAGCGAAAUGGGUUUCUUUGCAAGUCUUUUAAUACGUAGGCUUCAUGAGAUUUCGUGCGUAGUAAUUAAUGUAUAUUUUUCUAAUAGAACAGUUUUGGUGAUUGAAAAGAAGCCAAAACAAACUAGUGUUUGGCUUUCUUUUAUAAAGAUUAUGGAAUUAGAUGUAAUUUUGAAUUUAUUCCCACUCACACCUCUGAUGUGAUGUAGUUGUUGGCAAUUCUCGACACGACCCGCCACACGACCCGUGACACGACACGAAAUAAAUGAGUUUGGGUUGAGCUUUUCAACCCACUAACCCGUUUAUAUUUUUGAUAAAAAAAAUUAUUUUAUUUUUAAAUCUAUUUAUGUAUUAAGUAUUAAUAUUUAAUAAGAUUAUAUAAUAUACCAUUGAUUUAUAGACCAUUUGACUGUUUUGACAUUUUGACUUGUGGUGGAUGGUCUAAGGUUGUAAGUCGUAACCUGUAAAGCUAAGUCUGUAACCAUUUUGCCUAUUUGUCCUAAAUAAAAAUCUCAAAAGCAAAUGCGUAUGAGCAUAUCUCCCUCUUCCAGACUUCCAGUCCCCCGGUCUCCCACAGUCCCACUCUCCACUGUGUUACUCUGUGAUGGAAAUCAUGUAUCGAAAUCAAAUCGUGUAUUGAAAUCACAAACGAUGUUGAUGCGUGAAGGCUGAAGUGGUGAAGUUCACGAACCCGCCAACCUGUGAACCCGUAUAAAUAAAUGAGUUGGCGGGGUCAUAUAUGGGUUUAUGUUUUAAACCCGCCAACCCGUGACCUGUAUAUUUAAAUGGGUCGUGUUUGGGUUGACAUAUUUUGACCCGCCAACCCGUGACACGUAAACCCGAACACGACACGAUUGCCAGGCCUAAUGUCAUAUGUACAUAGAGGUGAUUAUAUUGGUGCAUAGCCUUGGGCUUGACUGGAUCUAUAAAUCGGGAAAGGCCAAGCCCGUUUCUAUAACUACACCUCCAUAAUUAGUUAGCUUGAUAUCAAACAUAUCCAUUUGGCAAUCAAUCGGUGCGUGCUUUUCAUAUAUACAAGCUAGACACAAAAUUAUAAAACACGACACCUAAUUAAUCCAUGUGACACGUGAGAAAAAACAAAAUUUUAAAACACAAACACAACAUGUAACAAACCUGUGUUACACGUGGCAUGACACAAAUAUACAUGUUUCUAAUACCAUUUUUUUAAGCAUAAGAAAACAUGCAAAUUGAUUCUCAAACUUUCAGUAAAUGUAAACUUGAACCCAUUAACUACACGACUAUGUGUGUAUAUACGUGUUUAUGCGUGUUGUGUGUUGCACAAAUUUAAUCCGUAUCUUAUACGUGUAAAUUCGUGUUUGACACGUGUAAGACAUGAAACACGAAUUCCAAAUAUGGACACAAGUUGAAAUGAAUUUUGAAAACUCAUAAAUGAAAAACUCAUGUCGUGUAUUGAAUUGUCGGGCUACAACAUGUAACAAACAUUAUAUUAAGUUUACUUGCAGCUAGAUAAAGCGUAGAGGCAAUCAUGCACGAAUAAGCAGUUAUAAGUAACUUCUAAUUUUGUAGUGGUCACCAUCUUAUUUCUACAAAUUUCUACAUUUAGCAAUUAGUACCACUGAUUCAUACCAAUGCUUAAACAAAAAUCGAAGUAAGCAAAGCAAAACACACAGGUGUAGUAGCAACGUAAGGCAACGACCUAAAAUAUGCUAAUACUUUUCACCCAAAAUCACCUACUAAACAUCGAUGGUGUAAUUCUAAGUAUAUUCUCUGGUAUCUAAUUCACUUAAACAUAUGAUUUAAGACCAACCUCUCACAGGUUCAUUUUAGAAAUAGUAUUUUCACCAUAUUUAAAAAAAAAUAAAAAAUAAAGCACCUCUUCACAACGGAAAAUCCCAUUUUUUUUAAAAUGGUAAUUCACCAAAUAUGUUUAAUAUAAAGUGCACGAGACAAUGAAGUUGCUACGUGUUCCUGUAUGUAAUUGGCAGCCUAUUGUGGAAAGGGUUCACAAAAAGCUCUCUUCUUGGAAGGCAAAUUCGUUGUCUUCAUGAGGUCGUUUAACCCUUUCUAGGGUUGUUCUUGGAAGUCUCCCACUCUAUUAUUUUUCUUUCUUAAGAGCGCCUAAAUCCGGCCCGGACAACUUGGAGCCGAUUAGAAGAAAAUUCUUUUGGGGAGGCUGUGAAGAAAAACACAAGAUAAACUGGGUGGCUUGGGAUAUUUUUCUAGGACCCAAAGAAAAAGGGGGCCUUGGAAUCGGUUCCUUCAUGUCGUUGAAUACAACCUUGCUUGUCAAAUGGUUAUGGAGGUUUAAAAAAGACUUGAGUUCUCUUUGGAUGAGAGCUGUUAACGGUAUUCAUAACAUAAAGAAGCAUGUGGGUGCUUGGGCGAAGAGAUCGUUGGCUGGGGUUUGGUCUCGUCAAUAUCAUUCCUCAUAUCAAUGAUUUGGGGGUUUACUUCUCCUCUACUUAUGACAUUUGCAUCGAGGAUGGUAAGGAUACGUUGUUUUGGAAGGACGAUUGGUUAGGGAGUGGUAAGUUGGCGGUUAAAUUCCCUUGUCUUUUUUAUCCGGACAAACGGAAGAGCUGCUUUGUAGCGGAAAGAGUAUANUGUGUGUGUGUGUGUGUGUGUGUGUGUGUGUGUAUAUAUAUAUAUAUAUAUAUAUAUAUAUAUAUAUAUAUAAGAAGGAUCAUUUGAGAACUCAAAGUUUCCCGAGAAUCCGAUAACUAAAGGUGGAACGUUGGAUUAAAAAAAGGAAGAGUCUGGGAUGCAAGGUGGCGUUUUUGUAAAUAAGUAGGCAAAAAAAGGAGGGGUAUUUUAAUUAAUUCAGUCAGGGGUAUUAUAAGAAUAAAAAUAUAAUUAAAUGAUUUAUUAAAUCUAAUAUUUGAUAAAAUACAUUUUCAUCUUUCUCUCUCUUUCUCUCUCUCUCUCUCUCUCCUCCCCGUUUUCCUCUCUCGCUCAAAGGUACGAUCCAUCCUCCGACGAAUCACCUUCGUCGAAUUGCCUCCAAUCUUUCUUCCAAUUCCAUGCUUUCGAUUCUGAAAUUGCUUCUACUCACACGAAUCUGAAAUCCCCCAAUGAUUGAAGUUUCAAUGUUGCUGAACUCCUUGAUCUCACGUUCUUCAUAGAAAAAACUCCACUGAAGAUGCCUUGAUUUUUAAUCGUUUAUCCUCCAUCAAUUUGUUCCUCGGAGUACAUCGUAAUCGUCGGCUUCAUCUCGGCCUCCACUGUGGAUUGAAGAACUGAACGAAGAAGAUGAUCCCUUGUCGAUCAAAAUUUAGGUAUCAUCUAUUUCUAUAGUUGACUCCUGACUUUUGUUUGACCUUUAUGAAUUGUUUUUGCCUAAUCAUUAAGUUGAACUUGUUUAGCCAAUAUGUUUUUAAGAAGAGUUAAAUCCUUGUGUUGAUUGUAGGUAUAAAAAUAGAUACCUGUGUUAUUGAAAAAUAUAGAUAUUUGUUUGCACUCAACAUGUUCGAUGAAUUGCCUCAAUGAGAAAUAUCACAUGUUAGCUUCACUUUGACUUCAUGAAUGAUGAACCAAUUCCAAUUUAGUAUUCUGAAGAAUUUUUUUUGGUUAUAUUUUGAGAAAUGUAGGAGAUAUUUUUAUUUGUGGAAGACUACAGCCUUUUGAGCAUAUAAUAUAAUGUCAGAAACUAGUCGUCUUUUACAAAUAAAUUUUCAUAAUACAUUUUAAAUGGAUUACUUCAGCCUUUUGAGCAUCUGGUAUGCUUGUAUUUUCUUGGUACCCAAGGCCUAACAUAUUGUAACGCCCGUAGGUCCGGGCUAGUCAAUUAGAGGCAAUAGGGGUCGAAAACGACUUUUCGAAAAAAGAUUAUUUAGAAUAAAUAAUCUUAACCAAGUUGUAGAAUAUGUCACAAGGUUUCCGUACAUAUAAAGAACGCCGAAAUCCGAGUUAUAACGAAGAAGUUAUGACUCGUCGAAGUUUCGCGACGGAACCGGCACGGCACCGGGAAGUGUAAAUAGUGAAUUUACGAUAGAACGAGACAUAGCCUUAGUAAUCUAAAAGAAAGUCGUAGAAUACGUUAAACUAAGAACAUUGAUAAAAAGAACGCCCAAAUUUGACUUCGUAUGAAGAAGUUAUGAUUUUUUGAAGUUUCGGACAAGCAGUGUACAACCCGAAAUUCGAAUAUUAGAUCGAGUAGUUUUUGGCCUACAUGACCUNUUGGCCGACACGACCUAAACGAGAAUCGAAGAUCUCGAUAAGAGUAGCAUAACGAGAAAAAGAUGGGCGAAAACGGACGUCGGAUGAAGAAGUUAUGAGGAUUUAACGGACCAAUCUUGUCCCGGCGUGUUAAUAAUAUCGAAAUUUAAAAUCGAGCCAAAAUUAGACGACGGAUUCUAAGCAAAAGUUGUAGAGUACGUUCCCGCCUUCGCGUGGAUAUAAAGAACAUCAAAAACGGAGUUCGUAUGCGAAAGUUACGAAUUUUUAAAGAUUAAACUUGAAUUUGCGAAGCUGUUGCUAGAUGAGAUGACGUGGCACGAUCUAGACCGUCCAUCGCUGAAGAAAGCCUCGCCUCGGAUGCAUGACACGCAACCCCUCGCAUACGCCCAACGUUAGCAUCAGACGCCCCGCGUACGAGGUUCGGAAUGCCCCGCGUUGAAGAACUCUUCCUCGGUCCAUAAGCAUCAACGUCUCACCAUCCGAAGCUUGCCACGCCUCAGUCUUAUCCGAAGCUACGCGCAGCGUAAUGUUGCUGUACGCCCAGCGUACCUCCGAAGGCUCGCGCCUAUAAAUAGGCUGCGAGGGUUGCCGAGCAAAACACACCAAUUUCUUUCUCUCACUAAAAUUCUUUCUCUCUUUAAGGGUUUUAACCCUCCCCUAAGCCUAGGUGGUCCCCUAGCACCCUAAGGAAGCCCCGAGGCUCCCGGAGUCCCGAGAAAAAGGAGUUUUUCGGUUUCGAAACGCUGCUCCAAUUAAGUUCUGGUUUUCAAUAAAAUUCGCUGUAAGUGUGCUACGCUUAUGCAAUUUUUAAUAUAUUUCAAAUAAUUAUAGGAAUGUUAUUAGGUCCUUAAAAUAAUUAUUUGGGCUAUUAUUAUGAGUUAUAUUGAGUGUUAUUAACACUUAAUAAUAGUCAGACUAAUUAAUUUGUCGCGGUUAUCGUUAGACUAAACCCUAGUGGUAUUGGUACUAGGUUUUAUCGAAGGAAAAUCGUUUUGAGAGUAUCGAAGCGCUGUCCGAGUGCUGAGUCAUCACCUUUCAGGUGAGUGCAUAGUCCAUUUCAUCUUACACAUAGAUAUGAAGUAUUUUAUAUAAACUACAUGCUAUGUGUGCAUAUUAUCUGAAUACUUGCUGUCUAUGCUGGAUGAACGUUUUAUACAUGUUUUAAAGGAUUUAAAUUGUAUACGUAUUUUAUAUAUACGAAUAUGUUGGGUAUGAGAUGGGUAGAUGAAUGAUGAGAGAUAGAAUAUGAUGUGAGUAUACAUUGGUAGCUAUAGACUUAGAGCCUAUGGGACGAACACCGGUAGCCAUGGACUUAGUACCUGUUAGACGUUGGUAGCUAUGGAUUUAGUACCUGUUAGGAAUUGGUAGCUAUGGACUUAGUACCUAUUAGUUAGAUGCUGGUAGCUAUGGAUUUAGUACCUGUUAGGAAUUGGUAGCUAUGGACUUAGUACCUAUUAAGCACUGGUAGCUAUGGAUUUAGUACCCGAUGAGUAGGAUAUAGCAGCUAUGGAUUUAGUGCUUUAACGAACGAACAUCGGCAGCUAUGGAUUUAGUGCCAGUCCUAUAACCCUGGAAGUAAGGGACUUCAGAAUAAACGAAUGCAGGAUAGAUGACUCUUAGGUUAAAUCCUUAAGAGUAAAGAAGAUAAUGGGGAUGGGUAAUUGGGUUAAUUGUUUGAUGAUUGAACAUAAUAAUUAUAUAUUGUGGGUUGAAAACCCUAUGUACUCACCAGGUUUCCCAACCUGAACCACUCAGUUUAUUUAUAUCACAGGUGUUGAUAUGAAGUCACAUUACACAAAGAGAUUUAAAGAGAUGUAGAUUACUAGUGUAAACAAAUGUAAGUUCUGUUUAUGCUUAUGUUUAUGUAUUAACGAUGACAUCCCAAACGUUUUAAGAUGAAUAAAAUACGUUUCUUCGAAAAUGUUUUAAUAACGUAUUUAUCGUGUUUUUCUGGGAACAAAUUCCGCAACAUUUUUAUUAAAAGAAAAACUCUGAUUUUUAUAAAGCAUAAACAAAAUCGGUCUUUUCUGGCCGUGAUUCUGGGGAUGUCACACAUAUGCUCUAAUGUUGUUAAUGAUCAAUUUUUUCUUAGCCAUUUUUACAGGUAAUUUAUGAAUUUGUAGUUAUUUACUCAUCUUUGUAAGAAUUAAGAAGCAAAUUGUUUAAUGUAUAUCAGUUUUGUUCUUUUUUUAAAUGAAAAAUUCGUUUUCUUGUUUCAUUUCCAACUUUCCUCUAUCAAACAUGCAUCGUUGGUUCUGUGGUGUUACCUGCAACCAGUUGCUAUGCUCUUAACGAUUCUAGCCACAUUCAUCAUUUUGUAUCUUCCUCAAGUAACUGCAAUUUGGAAUUAAAUUUUGUAUUACUUGGUGGCAAAAAAGUUUGUUUUCUCUAACAUAUUAUACAGAGUAGCUGGUUUGGACACCCUAUUGAGUAUGGUGGAGUGGUAAUUUCCUUUUGUACAUAAUGAUCUUGAUAUCAUUCUAAUUGUUCAAAUUUGGGAUAGUUCUUUUCACAGUUUUUGUUGUGUUUUAUGUUUCAUUUCCUAUAGCUUCAUUGAGAGUUUGUUUUUGGGAUAAUGGAGAAUUUAGAGAUGUAAAAUUUAUAUUAGUCAAGAAUGGGGGAAGUCUCCUGGAAAGUGGAUCAAGACUGUGUUUUUUGGGAAUAAGUAAUCAAAAUCUAAUCUCUCAAAAGUAAGAAAAAGGUUACUUUUUGUACAUCACUUGUCUGUUCUCUUAGUAUGUGAUCCUGAUGUCAUCUAAUUCUUGCAGGAUGCUACUUCAGAAAUAACAAUAUUCAUCACUGGUAAAACACCAUCAAACAAUUUUGGUGCUGAUUCAAUGAUCAUCUCAAGUCCUGUGCGCCCUGUAAUUGAUUCAAGUGAUCAUACAGAACUUGAAAAGACAUCAAGUGAUAACUUAAUAACCGAUUCACCUGAGAAUGAUAAUGCAAAUGAUUAUACAGAACUUGUAUAAUUGAUUGUUGCAAUUUAACCCUAGAGUAGAUGAUGAGUUUGAUAAAUGAUAAUGCAAAUAGGAGCACAACAACCAAGGUACAUGAAUAUUAUUAUUAUAAUCUUGAAAAGACAUCAAGUGAUUCACAUUUGAAUCACAAGGGAUUCACAUAUAAAUCACAAGUGAAUCACAUAUAAAUCACAAGUGAUUCACAUAUAAAAUCACAUGUAAUUCACGUGUAAAUCACAAGUGAAUCCCAUAUGAGUUACAUAUGAAUCACAAGUGAUUCAUAUAUGAAUUACAUGUGAUUCACAUGUAAAUAACAUGUAACUUACAUAUGAAUUACAUGUGUUUCACAUGUAAAUCACAUGUAAUUCACAUAUGAAUCAUAUGUAAAUCUUAUAUGAUAUAUACAUGUGUAAUUUUGUGAGUGUUCUUGCAUUAAUCAAAUUUUUUAAUUUUCUUGUAGAUUUUGAAGAAUUUGUGGAAAAUAUUGAAGAGGUGAAAAGUGAUAAAUUGAAGAAAAUAUGAAAAUCUUGAUAUGAAGAAAUGAUAACAUUGUGAAUCUUCGUAGCAUUUUUUAUUUUUUAUAUUUUAUUUUGUAUCGAAUACAAUACUUGUACUAUUACGUUUAUAGAUUGAUUAAUAAAAAUGAGAUUUUUAUGAUUUACUUACGAAUAUUAUAGUAUAAGAAAUAAGCAUAUAUUCAUUUGAAAAAAAUAUGUAUAUAUGCACCUAAAAUGUUGACUUUUUUUGUUUAAAAAAUUAGAGGUUUUUUUAAAUAUUCUAGUUUUUUUUUUUUUUUUUUUUUUUUUUUUUUUUUUUUUUUUUUUUUUUUUUUUUUUUUUUUUUUAAAUUUUUUUUUAUAAAUUUACUGAUUUUAAAAAUUUAUAUAUAUUUUUUAAAAAUGUAGCUGUUUUAAAAAAAAUUGCACUUUUUUUGAAAAAAAAUUGCAGUAUUUUAAAAAAGAAAGCAGUUUUUUUGAAAAUAUUACAAUUUUUUUUAAUAAUUACUAUUUUAUUAAAAAAUUUGUAGUUUUUUUUUAAAAAAAAAUUGCAGUUUUUUUUUUUUGAAAAANNNNNNNNNNNNNNNNNNNNNNNNNNNNNNNNNNNNNNNNNNNNNNNNNNNNNNNNNNNNNNNNNNNNNNNNNNNNNNNNNNNNNNNNNNNNNNNNNNNNNNNNNNNNNNNNNNNNNNNNNNNNNNNNNNNNNNNNNNNNNNNNNNNNNNNNNNNNNNNNNNNNNNNNNNNNNNNNNNNNNNNNNNNNNNNNNNNNNNNNNNNNNNNNNNNNNNNNNNNNNNNNNNNNNNNNNNNNNNNNNNNNNNNNNNNNNNNNNNNNNNNNNNNNNNNNNNNNNNNNNNNNNNNNNNNNNNNNNNNNNNNNNNNNNNNNNNNNNNNNNNNNNNNNNNNNNNNNNNNNNNNNNNNNNNNNNNNNNNNNNNNNNNNNNNNUAUAUAUAUAUAUAUAUAUAGACGCACACACAUAUGCAUUAUUUUAACACAUUUGAGCAUUAAUUUGGUAAAAUGCAAAGAUAUUUGGUACUUUUAAUGUUUAAAUUCUAUCUUGCAGCCAAAAAUGACAUUCUUAAGGAAAAAAUGACUGAAAUUGAAGAAAGCUGGAAACUUGGAGCUUGGAGCUUGGAGCUUACACUAGGAGAAGAAGAGAGAAGAAAAUCGUGCAUAUUGAAGUUCCCACGACGUGGACAAUUAGAUUCCACGACGUGGCAUUUGGAAUCUUAUCGAUCAUUGCAUGAAGAUGUUUCUCAUGACGUGACCAUAUAGCUGUCACGACAUGACCACAUGUCAAACCUUGAAUCUUCUACGGACAUAAAUGGAAGCCUUGGCGCAUACAUGAUUACCAUGAUUCCCACGACGUGACAUCUAUUUCCCAUGUCAUGGCGACUACUUUUUGGCAAGUAUAUAUUUUGAACUUUAGGUCGGAGACUUUUGGCAGAAAGCUGCAAUAGAAAAGUGACAAAAUACCUUCUAAGAACCCUUGGAAGUCAGAAGAAGAUUGGAGAUCAAGUUUUGGAGAUUUUUAGAGAAAGAACAUCAUUAGAUCAUUCAGAUUGCUAGUUUUUACUAUGUCUAAUCUAGUUAAAUCAGAUUUCAUGUUUGUUUCUACUUUAAUGAUGGGCUAAAACCCUAUACGUCUGUUUAGUGAUGAUGAACCCUAGUACUAUGUGUUAGUUUCCCUUUUCAUGGAUUAUUGAAGUUGGUUUAGCUUGUGUUUGAUAGAUCACUACAUAGUAUGUUAAAAAUUUCAAUCUUUAUUGCUUAGCUUUCAAUUUUUGUUUAGUUAGAUGAUCACUUUGAUUGCAUGAACUCGUUUACCUAAUUGUUUAUGAAUCUUAAAUUGCUAGAGCUAGUGAUUGACCAAAUCCUAGAUUAGGUAAUAAAGAUAGUUACUUUAACUGUGCUAGAGAGCAUAAUUAGAUCAUAAUUUGUGUUUUGGUUAUUUUUCUAAGUCUUAGAUAAUUAAUCUUAGGUUUAUAAUUCAUAGCCCAAUAAUCUUCAUAAUUGAUUUAGUCUUCCACUUAUGCAAGAUCAUUGCCUAGUAGUUCAUAAAUUGGUGAAAAGAUUAGGAGAUUGGACCAAGACUUCUAAUAACAUUUAAAUUGAUAACCAAAUGAAAUUAAUCCAUAUGUUGAAACAAACGAUAGGGAAAAGGUGAUUCAAAGCUAAACUGAAGUGUGUUUAUUAUCUUGAUUAAAAAUCGUCAUUAAUUGUUUGCUUAGUUUAAAUGUUUUUAGUAAUUAAUUUAAGUUAAUCUGAACUUAGAAACUCAGAUAAAACCCCUAAUUUUAGUUAUCAUUCUUACGUUAACUUUUAGUAUUUAUUAUAUUAAUUAAAAUAUUAUUCCCUAUAAUUGACACCCGACUUGAUUUACUAUACUAUAAUUCGACUAGUUACAUAAGUAUUUUAGCUAGUAAAGUUUGGUUUGGUUUAUAAAUUAAAAACUAGUAUAUAUAAAUCAUAUUAAUAACUCAUUCAAUCGUUUCCANAUAUAUCGUACGCAUCAAGUUUUUGGCGCAGUUGCCGAGGAACGACUUAUUUUAGUUUUAAUUUAAUUGAUAUUGGUCAAUGAAUCCUUUUUGUGGGGUAGAAACCGGAAAAGGUUAAUUUACUGCUUUGUUUUUAGUUUUCCGUUUAAUUAGAGUUCACGAUGUGACGACUCUACCUUCAAGACGUGAAAACUGAGCAUUUUCAAUUUUUUGUUUAUUUUGUUUUAGUUUGUUUUUAUGUGUUUUCUUUGCUUUGUUUCAGUAAUAUAUGACCAGGGGAACAACUUUUAAGCUUGUGCCACCAUUUGAAGAUCUGGAAGCCGAGUUUCACAAGAAAAAGGAUAAAAAUGAAGGCAAAUCUAGUAGCAGCUUCAAAUCAGACGAGGUAGCAACUUUUGAAAAAAUUCCCGACAAGAAAGACAUCGGAUACGAACCAGAAACCAAAAAUGAUUCAGAAGAGGAAUUCAAAAGCAAACGAGACAACAUGAUGGAGGACAUUAUGAGAAUGACCACAUAAUAGUACAAUAGGUGGAUGCCUAAUGACAAUGGGUCGGGUCUCAUACCAACAACAAUUCCUAGCCAUGACAAACUUAGAGCUCAAGGGACAUAUCCUCAUUAUGCUCAAAUAUAUCCCAUUAUAUGGGAAAGAUCACAAGGAUGCCAACAGACUCAUUGACGAAGUGUUGGUUAUUGGAAAAUAAUUUAAUGUUCCAAAUGUUUCAUGUGAUGUAAUGCUACUUAGGAUGCUUCUAGUCAUAUUCACAGGAUCAACAAAGGAUUGGUUAAAGUCACUUUCACCUGGAGCAAUCACUACAUGGACCAACCUUUGUAAUGAAUUCAUUUAAGAAUUCAGGCCUCCUAUGAAGAUAGUAAAGUUCAAGAAGAACAUCCUUAACUUUCAACAAUUGGAUGGUGCAUCCUUAUAUGAAGCUUAGGAAUGUUAUAAAGGAUUACUUUGCAAUUUUCCUCAACAUGAUCUUAACAUGCAACAAGAAAUCUCCACCUUCUCUGAUGGAAUCAAUGUGAGCACUCGCCAACUUCUUGACUCUCAAGGACCAAUGACUAAGAAGGACCCACCAAACAACAAGGCAUUAAUAGAAGAGUUUUCUGAACACUCAAGAGAGUAUCACAACCCUCGAGUUGAUGUGACAAGAGGAAAAGCAAAUGGUGAUGCAGCUUCGGAAGGCUUAGCGGCGGUGAUGAAAAACUUGAUAAUAUGCACAGGAGGAUCACGAGGAUGGGACAAUCCAUUCACGUGAUACAAGUUGGGUAUGAAAACUGUCACGAACCAUAUUUCACUAAGGAUUAUGAUUUGGAAGAGAACGAUAAUAGGAAGGCGCAAGUAUGUUAUUCAAGUGGUGAUCAUUAUGAUGCAGAUUGGAGGAGGCCUAAAAAGGAAUAUAAGACCCACAACGAGCAUUGAAAAGAAAAAAGAAUAGAAAUAUCGACAUCAAAGGUGAGGAUUUUACCAAAAGGAACAAGCACCACCCAAGAAAAAACUCGACCUCGAAUCGAUGUUAGCUAGGUUUUUAGAAGCUAGUGAGCAAAAUCAUAAUGCUACUGAUGUUAAAUUGAGAAAUCAACAAGCCUCCAUAUCGAAUAAAGAGACUCAAAUCGGACAAUUGUCAAAACUAGUCCAAGAACGUUUACUUCCUACCAAUUCUGAGCCAUAACCACAACCACAUGUUAUGGAAAUAUCUAUUGAUGACGAAAAUUCUUUUGAGCCUCUAGUGAUCCUCGAAGUAGCCAUUGAACCUCCCAAUCUAAAGACGAAAGAAGUGAAGGAUGGAAAAGAAAACUACUCUGCCAAUUAUUCAUGACGUGUAGAGCAUGGUGUCACAUCGUGGUAACAACAUGAAACUUCUAAACCUUCUCCGGUUAAGUCGUAUAAGCCACCACUUCCAUAUCUAUCUCGAGCCAAGCAUCACCCACUGGAACAAGAGCAUAGGAGAUUCAUGGAUCAAGUGAAGGGGCUUUCGAUUAGCAUGCCAUUUAUUGAGGCAAUUGCAAAAACACUGAAAUAUGCAAAAGUUCCUCAAAGAUAUUAUUAGCAACCAGGAGGAAUUGGAGAAGGUUUCAAAGGUUUUUAUCACCAAACAAUGUUCUACUGCUGUGAUAGAGGGACUUCCACUUAAUAUGCGAGAUCGGGGCAUCUAAAUUUACCUUUGCGAGUUCGGAAAUUUGACAAACAUGAAUACUUUGGCCGAUUUGGGGGCGAGUAUUAAUAUAAUGCCUUUUUCAUUUUACAGGAAACUCGAAUUACCAAUGUUAAAGACUAUAAGGAUGGCUAUUCACAUGGAUGGCCGGUCUGUUACCUACCCUCGAGGCAUUAUUGAAGAUCUUUUGGUGAAGGUCGGGAAGUUUGUAUUUCCAGUUGAUUUCAUUGUUGUUGAUAUGGAGGAGGAUAAAGACUUCAUGAUAAUUCUAGUAAGACCUUACCUAAGCGUAGAUCAUGCCUUAGUAGACAUCCACGACUCCAAGGUUACAUUAUGAGAUAGAUAUGACAUCCCCAAAAAUCACUGCCAGAAAACACCGAUUUUCAUUUAUGCUUUUAAAAUAAUUUCAAAGUAAAUCCUUUUGAUUUAAAAGAGUUGCGGAAUUUGUUUCCAAAACAAAAUAUGAUAAAAUAAAGUUUAUCAAAGCAUUUCAUCAAGAGAUGCGUUUUCAUUAAUUAACAAUAUUCGGGAUGUCAUGUUCCGAUACAAACCAAAAGCAUAAACAAUAUAAAAUAGACCUUACAACAGUUAUUUAUAACUACUGAUCUAUAAUCCAAAAUCUCUUGUCAAGUCCACCCAUUUAUACUCUUGUGCCAUUACCUGUAAUGCAAAGAAAACUGAGUAGGUCAGGCUUGGGAGCCUGGUGAGCAUGUAGGGUUUUCAACCCACAAUAAUACAUUUAUUAUAUUGAAUUAUCAAACAAUCAACCCAAAUACUCAUUCCCAUUAUCUCCUUUAUUUCUUAAGGAUUUACCCUAAGAAUCAACUAUCCUUUAUCCAUUUAUUCCUAAGGAUUGACCUAAGGAAUUGACACAAAGUCCACCACUGCCAAGGUCCACAAAUUACGAUUGGUAAACACUUAGUUCAACAUACUUAACAAACACCUAGUUCUAACACUCCUAGUGAACAAUUAAUUCAAAACAUCUGGUGAAUACUUAGUUCUAAAACACUUAGUGAACACACUCAGUUCAACAACACCAAGUGAACACAUCUAGUUCAAAAUACUUAAUGAACACAUUGAGUUCAAAAAUACCAAGUGAACACAUAGAGUUCGGAAAUAACUAAUGAACACAUUGAGUUCAAACACCAAGUGAACACGUAGAGUUCAAAAAUACCUAAUGAACACAUUGAGUUCAAACACCAAGUGAACACGUAGAGUUCAAAAAUACCUAAUGAACACAUUGAGUUCAAAAAUACUUAUUAUUUCGUCUCACAUCAACUAUUUCAUCUACCCAUGUUCUACCCAACAUAUUUGUAGAUGCAAACACAUAUACAAUUUAAAUCUUUUAAAACAUGUAUAAAACAUUAUUUCAACAUCUAUCUCAAGUAAAUAAACAUUGUAUAAACACCUAGCACGUACUUCAUAGCAAAUACUUCAUAUCUAUGCGGUAGAAGAAAGUGAAUAUACAUUCACACAUAUAACAACAAAAUAUACACAUAACACGUAUUUCGUAUAAAAUACUUCGUAUUUAUGCGUUAGAAGAAAGUAACCACACACUCACUUGAUCAGAAGAUGAUCGGACAACACUACGGCUUGUAAAAGUAGUAUUCUUCGGUAGAUCUGGAAGAUCUUCACAAAAAUCGAACUUCUCGCGGGCAGAGCUUCGGCUCGGGAAUCUUACUUCUCGGGAUCUUCAGGACCUCGGGACUUGCUUCGGGGCUCGGGAAUGAUACCGGGGCUUCGGGGUACUUCUGGCACGCAAAUCGAUGCAAAACGGGAGAGAGAAGAGAGAAAAAGAGCAAUUGAGUCGGCUGCCCUCGCAUCCUAUUUAUAGGAGGCUGGAGCCUCGGAGUACGCGGGGCGUACUGCGUUACACGGGGCGUACUGCGUUACACGGGGUGUACUGGUCCAAAAUCAUCAUUGCUUACGUAUCCGAAGAACUCGAGUGCGAGGUGCGUCAUGCUUCGCGGUACGCUGGGCGUACUUCGGAUCAGAUCGGUGACUCCUUCAGAUAUACAUCCGAAUUAAAGAUUAAAUUUAAAUACAAAUUAUUUAAUAAAAUUCGGAAAUUCAUAUCUUCUUCAUACGAACUCCGUUUUCGACGUUCUUUAUAUCCACGCGUAGGUGAGGCUACGCUCUAUAACUUUCGUUUAGACUUCGUCGGCUAAUUUUGACUUUAUUUUUUAUUAUUUAUUUUUAGUAGGCCCGGACAGGAAAACUUCGUUAUAAAUUCAUAACUUCUUCGUUUGAUGUCUGUUCUUGCCUAACUUUUCAUCGCUUCGAUACCAACAACGAGAUCUUCGAUUCUCGUUUAGAUUGUUUCGGCUCAGGCUGCAUACCGCUAAGUCGAAACUUCGAAAAAUCAUAACUUCCUCAUACGAAGUCAGAUUUGGGCGUUCUUUAUAUGUACGGAAUCCUUGUAACAUAUACUACAAAUUAGUUAAGAUUAUUCAUUCUAAAUAAUCUUUUAUCAAAAAGUCAUCUUUGACGCUUAUCGUCUCUAAAUUGACUAGCCCUGAUCUACGGGCGUUACAAUUAUCUCCCCCUUAGGAUGAUUACGUCCCUGAAUCAUCAACGAAAUAGGGCUUAUAUAAUAAUUCCACACGUAAUUUCUUCAUCCUAGGUAAUAACCGUAAGUUCUAUAUUUCCUCGAAAGAGUGUUUAACUCUAUGGCUUUCUUGACUAUAGACGAUGCCCAAAUCUUGCAUCUACUUUUCAUACUACGUUGUACUUUCAAUUGUAACCUUCAAGUUACAAAAUAAAUCCUUAUUUCGGACUCCUUCUUCUUCCUGGGAUAAAUACAUUCCUUUAUCUAUUAUAAUAGACCGAUGGGUCGUGUCCCGGUGACCUCUCAUCGUAGUCGGACUCAAUUGAUAUGACCACUAGGGUCGGAAUCACAACCAUCUUACUAGUCAUUACCGAAACAAUGGUAAUGACAUACUUGAAUACAAUGGAAUCAAUUUUUUUUCAUUUUUAUUUUUUCUUGGAUUAUCCACUUUCUCGUUCUCUGUUUUUAAUCAAGUGUGGGGUCACAAUAGUAUUGUGAUGAAAGUUUUAUCAACUUUGAAAGUGAAAAAUUUUGGAUUUUUGAAAUUAAACUGCACCCAUGAUGUAAACAUCUUUUUGCCUACGAUGUGGGAUUCGAAGAGAGUCCCGAUAUUUGAUACUCACUCUCACGAUGUGACAAACACAUGGUCACAAUGUAAUGAAAGAUCAAUAUUUUCCCUUAAAUUAAACAUCCGACUAUCACUUUCACUUUCAAAACUCACGACGUCCUCUUAACUCUUUGGUCCCUACAUUUUAUUUUUGGCAUUACCCACUUGUUUCUUUCCAUUUUCUUGAUUAUUUAUCUACAAGGUAUGUUUCCAUUACUAUAUUGCCCUUAAUUUUGUAAGGUUUUACUUGAUUUGAACUUUGGGUUUGAUUAGGGUUUAGAUUUUUCCAAAAUUUCGCAUUUUGACUGAGAAAUCAGGAUCACAUGUUCAAUAAAUAUGUUUAGAAUUGCAUUUAGACAAAACACUAUGCAUAUUGUGGGAUUAAUUUGGUCAAAAGGUUUCGAUUUAGUAGAAUUCCCUCUCGAUCUUUAUCACGACGUGAGGAGCCUCAUGCCAUGAUGUGAUGUUUGGGCAACAUAAACUGAUUUUGAUUUGUUUUGCUUAUCCUUAUCCUUGUUCUUGUUCUUGUGGUUUGUUGUUUAUUGUUUUUGUAGAACUAUGGGACCAAGAAGGGCUCAACAACAACCUCAAGAGGAUGUGUUAAACCUACACCGAUUGUAUCAAUUCCCACAAGAUGUUCCGUGAUAUGUUUUAAGAAGUUAUAACAAUCGUUUGGGGUGGCUUCACAAUGGGAUUUUGUUGUUGCUCUGGUAAUAGAUUAGGCAUGGUUAAGGGGCGUUGGGAUAAUGGAACAAGUGGAGCCAUAUUUGACUAAGCUCUAUGUCGGGAAUCGAUCUUCAUUCACGUGCAAUGCGUGGCAUAAUUUUUUCACUAUCCAAGAGCACGUCUACCAGGAGCUAUCCGUGGAGUACUUUUCCAUAGUUAUCUUUGAAGAACACACGAUUGACCUAAACUAUGGAAGGGCGCUAACAUUUCGACUAGGAGGUGAAUAUCAGGAGUGCAAUUUGGCAGAAUUCGCUUGGCACAAUGGUUUGUAUCACGCGAAUGAAGAUACGUCUCCAUAAUUUCCUUUAUUCUUACAAGAUAUUACAAGGGAGUUACAGGGGGGACACAAUAUUUCGUGUUCUGGAGAACUAUCGCGAACUAUAUGUAUGAAUCAAAGAAUGCUCAAGAAAGAUACAUUCGGUCCCCAAUUUACCGGUUCUUGCACCGCCUUAUUACAUUUAGCAUAAAUCAUAAACGACACAUUCACAAGCAUCAGAAUCCAGUUUCUAGCAAUUUAUCGAGAUAUUCAAGCUUUCCCACCACAAAUCAGAUUCGAUAUCGCCACUACUACCCAGGGGAGUCUAUUCCCUUUUAUCCUUUUUAUUGCUUUUAUGUACUUUAUUUCUUUUAUGUAUACAAUGAGGACAUUGUAUGAAAUAAAUGUGGGGUAGGGGGUCGAAAAUGGAUUUUCAAGCGUUAAAAUUAUUAUCAGAAAAAUGCUAUAAUUUAAUUUAAUUCUAUAGACUUGAAAAAAAUACUCUUAUUUUGAAAAUAUAGUACAUUUAAAAAAUUUGAUAUUAUUGCAUUUGGACUAGUUUGCUACGAUGAUUCGAUGCGAACUCUAAGAUUUAGUUGAACCAAUAUGUUAUUGUGUAUUUUUGGAUUUCCAGUCCUAGUGAAAUCAUGAGACAAAAACAUGAACUUGUGUAGUUUGAUGGACAUAAUAUGUUUAGCAUCGUGUACUUGAAAUGUAUCUAUGAAAGCUUAUGUAGUCAUUUCAAUUUAGACUAAUACCUUUAACCAAUAAGGGUUGAGGUUAAGUUCCUUUGCUUAAGAACAUGUUUUUAUUUUCAAGUUUUUAGUUUGAGUGAAAAAAGUGAGUUUUUAAAAAAAAUGUGAAAAAGAAAAUAAAGAAAAAAAUUGAAAAAAUAAAAAAAAGUUGUCAAAGUUUGUUGAGUGAAUAAGAGCUUAUAAAGUAUGAAGUUCAAGAAUCAUGAAGAAAAGUUCAAAGUUACAAAUAAUGAAGGACACAAGUUAAUAAAGCGAAGAAUAAGGCAAAUUGACAAGAGAUCAUUUACUGUAACUUCUCUUUAUAUGUUAUUUUUAUCAUAUUUAUGCUUGGGAACUUAACAGAAAUAACCUUGAGGUUGGAAAAGUUUUCUAAGGAUGUAUUCAUAGGGAUACAUAAAAUGAAUCUUUUUCAAAAUAAAUGGGGAACGUUUAUGAGGAUUGUAAGUAUUUAGGCUUAGGAAAUAUUUCAGAUAAUUUAGACACAAAUACCUGCAUUGGGGUGAUGCGUAAUUAGUGAGUUCAGUUUGGAUUGUUUUGUAUGAUGUUGGUAUUCGAUGUUCUAUGUGAUGUAUUAAAAUAAGUUUUGCUUGAGGGCAAGCAAAAUGCAAGUGUGGGGUAUUUUGAUAGUGUUUUGUAUAUAUAUAUAUAUAUAUAUAUAUAUAUNUAUAUAUAUAUAUAUAUGCAUUAUUUUAAUAUAUUUGAGGAUUAAUUUGGUAAAAUGCAAAAAUAUAUGGUACUUAUAAUGUUUAAAUUAUAUCUUGUAGCCAAAAAGGACAUUCUAAAGGAAAAAAGGAGUAAAAUUGAAGAAAUUUGGAAACUUGGAGCUUGGAGCUUACAUUAGGAGAAGAAGAUAGAAAAAAUUUGUGCAUAUUGAAGUUCAUAUGAUGUGGACAAUUAUAUUCCACAACAUGGCAUUUGGAAUCUUCUCGAUCAUUGCAUGAAGAUGUUUCUCACAAAGCGACCAUAUACCUGUCACGAUGUGACCAUGUGUCAAAAAUCUUAUGCAGACAUGCACAAAAGCCUUGGCGCGUAUGGGAGUACCAUGAUUACAAUGACGACGAUCAUUUUUUGGGAAGUAUAUAUUUCAAACUUUAGGUCGAAAUUAGAGACUUUUGGCAGAGAUCUGUGAUAGAAAAACGACAAAAUACCUUCUAAGAACCCUUGGAAUCAGAAGAAGAUUGGAGAUCAAUAUUUGUAGAUUUUUAGAGAAAGAACAUCCGUAGAUUAUUCGGUUUGCUAGUUUUUACUGUGUCUAAUCUAGUUAAAUCAGAUUUCAUGUUUAUUUCUGCUUUAAGCGUGGGCUAAAACCCUAUACUUUCGUUUAGCGAUGAUGAACCCUAGUACUAUGUAUUAGUUUUCAUUUUCAUGGAUUAUUUUAGUUAGUAUAGCUUGUGUUUGAUAGAUCAGUACCUAAUAUGUUAAAAGUUUCAAUCUUGGUUGCUCAGCUUUCAAUUUCUGUGUAGUUAGAUGAUCGCUUUGAUUGCGUGAAUUUGCUUACCUAGUUGUUUAUGAAUCUUAAAUUUCUAGAGCAAGUGAUUGACCAAAUCCUAGAUUAGGUAAUAAAGAUAGGUACUUUACCUGUGCUAGAGAGCAUAAUUAGAUCAUAAUUUAUGUUUUGGUUAUUUGUCUUAGUCUUAGAUAAUUAAUCUUAUAUUUAUCAUUCAUAGCCUAAUAAUCUUCAUUAUUGAUUUAGUGUCCCACUUGUGCAACACCAUUGCCUAGUAGUUUAGAAAUUGUUGUAAAACAUUAGGAUAUAGGACCAAGACUUCUAAUAACAUUUAAGUUGGUAACCAACUGAAAUUAAUCCAUGUGUUGAAACUAACCAUAGGAAAAAUGAUGAUUCAAAGCUAAACGGAUGUAUUUAUUUUAUUAAUUAAAAUACCUUUUCCUACGAUCGACGAUUUUUUUUACUAUACUAUAAUUCGACUAGGUACAUUGCCUAUUUGUCUUUUAUCUAGUCAAGUUUGGUUUUGUUUAUAAAUUAAAACUAGUAUACACACACACGCAUAUAUAUAUAUAUAUAUAUAUGUGUGUGUGUGUGUGUGUGUGGNUACACGUCACUAUCUAUUUGUCACACCCCCGAACCAGACGGCGGAAACGUCUGGGGGCUUGUCCUGACUUCAUCUUGAAAUAUCAUUACAGUGAAUGUAAUUGAAACAUAACAUCAUCAUCAUCAUCACACAUGUAAUAUAACAACAUUCAUUGUUUACAUCAAGUAUUGUAUUUGAAUAUUAUAUGCCAAAAUAGUAGGAGUAUGAUGAAACAAAAUAUAACACAAUAUCCAUUAGUUUGUUUCGUUCAUCCUGCUUCAACGGUUUCCUGAGAAUACAAGUUAUUUUGAAAAAAGAUGGUCAACAUAAAAAUGUUGGUGAGUUCAUAAGCAUGUUUAUGAAAAUGAUUUGUAUAACUUUGAAAACCACCAGAAAAUCCUAUAUUUUCUGCAAAUUGUUUAGUGUGUUUGUGUCAGAUCUUGUAUUAAUGCAUGUAUGUUAUUGUUUAUUUGACUAAAAGGGUAAAGAGAAUGUAGAGAGAAUGUACAGAGCAUGUAAAGAGAAUGUUCCCAGACAACCCGAUGUUGUCUGUAAAAGAGAAAGCUGCCAUACCAACCCCCGAGGUUGAGUACCAGUACGAGAAUGUUUCCAAGUAAUCUAAGAGAAAAAUGAAUGAUCUUUCGUAAACUUCAUAACAUUAAUUCCUCUAAGUGAGUCGUCAUAACCAUACUAAAUAAUGACAAUUUCGUCUGUCUUGGCGUUGUUGGACGCCAAUUUUGAUUUUGAUUAUAAGGUUUUCGUCACCCUAGACUGAGUUACUCUAACUGUAGCGAACAACUCAGGUGUGGGGUGUCAUCCCCGUAUAGAUCUAUACACAAAUGUCCGCUCUCCCUCCAAGAGACUCUGGUUACAACUACAUGCUACAAUCUCAUUCCAGGCCCAAUGAACCAUGUAAGUGAACCACUAAGGCAUCGCUAAACACGUAAAUCAUUUAAAGGCCCAAAUUGGAAUGAAAUUAUAUAACAUGGGCCCGAAAUAUAGAUGAAAGGACAACUAAGGCCCAUUUCACAUGUAAGGUACUUACAGGCCCAAAUAGCACACAAAUAGUAUCCAAGGUCCGUCGCAUAUGUUAAUGGGUCAAUGAGGCCCAAUAAACAUAUAAAUAGUAUACAGGACCUAUUACACAUAAAAAUAGACCACUAAGGCCCAAUAACCUAGAAAAUGAUCAAAUUAAUCUGUUUGUUAGUUUAUCGUUGGUUUUGGUUCAAGUAUUCACUAAAAUAGCAUAAAAGCGCACUUUUUGUAAAAAUGUCGUUCUUGGCCCAAUAAGCCAAAAAUUUACAAUUAAGGCCCAAUUUUUGUAAGAAUAACACUUAAGUCUUCAUUUGUCCAAAACUUGUGUUGAUGACUAGUUUGUGGUAAAAAUAACAUUGUAAACCCAUUUUUGUCAAAAAUAUCAUUCUUGGCUUGAUUUUUGUGAAAAUACACAUUUUCUGGUUUUGAGCCUUUCCGACCUAGUUGUUGGAAAAAUUUGUAGAAAAAUCAUCGUAAGUUGAAAUUUGGAUCCGUAAACUCUGGAAGUUUGGAAAUUUUGUGUACUUUGUUCAAAAUUUUUCUCAUAAAUUUUGAUGGCCUCAAACUAGUGUGAAAUUACUCACCUUCAUAGGUUGGUCCGAAAUUAUUUCAAAUAUGAUAGGCAGGGUUUGUAAAAUUCGCCAAAAAUUGUAUAAAAAUCGUAUGAAAAUGUGAGACUAGUCAUUUUAAAGGUAUAAAUCUUAACUUUAUCCAUGUAAAACAGUUUUGAAAAAUACUCCAUUAAGAGGGUCAAAACAGUUCGAGAGUGGGCUAAAACUUUCCUGUCAAAACCUGAUUUUUGAGUAUAAGUUAUAGAUCUUUGAGCACAACACUCAGUUUUGCUAUUUUAAGUGUAUAAUUCCCAGACCUACAAGUUUAUAUGUAAUAUAUGUGAUAAAACAUACUUUUCUCAUGGUUCUUAUGAAGAUCCAAGUGAUAAAAUUCAAGUUCUUGACAUAUUUUUAGAUUAAUGAAGUAAUCAACACAUAAUAACCAAAUAAUUCAUGGAAAACACAUAUAAUCAUGCUUAUACACAUAGAUCUACACAAAGAAACUUGUAUUCUCCCCCAAAAUCUUAUGAAAACCGAAAAACAAAGGGUAUGAACUCACCUUGCUUUGAAUUUUUCGGUUUUUGGUGAAGAAAUGAAGAGAUCUUGGCCCUUGAUGUGUUCUUGAGGAGGUUUUCGAACUUAAGAUAGAUCUAAGGGCAUGGAUCACGAAGUGUUGUUUUAAGGAGUGAAGUAUUAACACAAUAAUGAAGUUAAUCAUCAACUUAAAGAGUAGCUUACCAAACAUGAUGAUCUUGAAAGAUCUUCUUGAGCUAACUCACACCAAGCUCACGAAUUUGAGGGAAUGGAUAAAGGAGUUCUCAUGUGCUAGAGGGGAGAUAUGUUUGGAGAAGUUUGAAGUGAGAAUGAUGGUGGGGAAUUUGGCUUUGGCCGUAAAGUAGAUAUGAGGAGAUAGAGAGAGACCUAGUUGGUUAUAACUUGAUGGUUUAAGAUUCUUAAUUGUGGAAAUAUGUGAGAUAACCAACUUGGAAGACCUCUAGGAAAUAAUGAGGUGAGGAGAGGGGAUAAGAGUUAUGUUGGGCCACAAUUUGAAUAGGCUUGAAAAUACAAGGCCCAAUUAUGUAAGUUUUCGGCCCAUUAGGAUCUCAUUGGUGUUCACGACCUAAUAGAAGUCCAAUAAUGUAGUUUACGACCCAUUACGGCUAAUGAACUCUUUUAUGCCCUAAUAAGGACCAUUAGAGAUAAGAUGGAUUAUUUUAGGCCCACAUGGCCCAAAAUGCUAAAGUUUAUGAAUGUGUUCUAAUUAGAGCCCAAUUAGGGUUCCUAGGCCCAAGGUGAUCAAGUUGAAAGUUUAUUGGUCCAUUAGGCCCAAUAAGAAAGUCCUAGUUCAUAAUGAACUUGAACCGGGAUUUAUAAGGUUUUCAGCCCUUAGUUGGGCAUAUGAGAUGUAUUUGGAUAAGCAUAGAUUAUGAUAUUCGCUUAGAGUACCAGUUAUUAUACUAGUUGAAUGAUUAUAUGAGAGUAGAAUUUCCUAGCAAAAUGCUAGUUGUGACACUAUUGGUCCAGAUAAAUGGAAGUCCAAAUUUUUAGGUGAUGGUUGUUUUUAUUUCCAUAAUUUGUGUGCAGUGAUUGCUGAUCGAGUGGCCCCCGUUGUAUUUAACCGCACAGUUUGGGUUAAAAUCGUUCCCUUAAAGUCUCUGUUUUCGUGUGGCGUGUCUCUAUGGAUCGUAUCCCUACAACGAUGGAUUUAGCUCGUAGAGGCGUAACGGGUGCUUGUGAACUUGUUUUCUCCCUAAUAUGGUAAGUGAUGAAGUGGACCAUGUUCUUUUGGGAUGCCCAACUGUGCGUGAUGCUUUGCAAUGUUUGUUCAAAUGGUGUAGUAUCCACCCUCAUAUUUUCAAUUUUGUUGUAGAGCUUGUCGAAUUUGCUGGGUAUUGGGGUCAAUUCCCAAAAAUAAGAUUGUUCCUAAUUACCCUUUGUUAUGGCUUCAUCUGGUGUCCAUGGAAGGUGAGGAAUGAGAGGACGUUUGGUGACAUUUGAACAUAGCACUCUAAGCUGGCGGCUAAUGUUUUUUCUAUGGUGUUUUAUUGGGUUAAACAAAGGGAUAGUUUGGUAUUUGUAAAUGGGUGGAUUGGGUCUGUUCCCCUUUCAAUGUUUUGUAACAUUGUUUGUGUUGUUUGUUUGCUAUGCAUUCUCCUUAAGAUGUGACCUUAAUAAAAUUUUCCGCCUGUUCCAAAAAAAAAUUAAGUGCAUGAGAGAUGAACAAAUCAUACUAAAUAUUAUUAAAAAACAAGGCAUAUUUAUUUCCAAAGCCAUAAAGAUCUUUAUUCUCCAAUAAUCUAUAUAUCCUCAUUAUUUUUCAAAUCUCCUCAGUCAAUGCUCUCCAAAUUAUUUUGAAGCCCUUUCUCCUUGUUUUGCUUGAAAUCACCAUGUGUAAAAAUAUUGCAUUUUCCAUAAUAUAUUAAAAGCGAUUUAAAUAUAACAUUUAAAAAACAUAGUGUAUUGUGACAUCCCAUUUUUACAGUCAGAAAAUAUCGAUUUGUUUAUGCUUACUAAAUCGAACUAUUCUUUUAAAAAGAUUAAUUUUGCGGAAUUUUCCCCAAAAACAUGAGAAAAUUUAUUAUCAAAUCAUUUUCAAAGAAAUGUGUUUUAUUUAUAAAACUCGUGAUGUCAUCGUCAAUACGUAAAAAUAAGCAUAAAAAAAGAGUUACUACGUUUCAUUACACUAAACGGUUUACAUCUCAUUGAAUCUCUUAGCAGAUGCACACAUCUUUAUCCAUAUAUAAUUACUUGUGGUGCAAAGAAACUGAGUAGGUCAGGUUGGGAACCCUUGUGAGUACAUAGGGUUUUCAACCCACAAUAUUAUAAUCUUUAAUUAUAUAUUCUUCAGCAUUCAAAUAACCCUAUUACCCCACUCCAAUUAUUCUCACUUACUAAUCCUAAUAUGAUGAUUUUGAGGGAUCUUUCUUAAAGGGUUUUUAUCAACAUACAACUAAAAAUCCUAGAUGAUUACGCAUGGCAAUAUGAUAUUACUUUGUGUAAACAUGGAAACACGACAAUACAUUAGUACUUUGGAUAGUCAUGACAGACACGACAGUACAAUAAUACUUGGGUAAAGCACGACAAUACAAGAGUACUUGGGAUAAGCACAACAGUACAAAAGUACCUUGGAUAAGCACGAAAGUAUAAAAGCACUUGGGAUAGACACGUCAGACAUGACUUAUUAUUUCGCACGACUUUCACUAUCUUAUCAUAACCACUAUCUCACAAUGAAUAAUAUCUUUUCUGAAUUCCAUCAAGCAAACCAACGUGACCAUUCUGGACACCUCUCCUGUAGGUAGAUCAAUAAGUAUUAUGACUUGAAAUUACUGAUAAAUCUUAUUUAUGGGUUCAUAAUAACGACUUAUGACUAUAAAUAUAAGUUACAUUGAAAAUAGAAGAGUGUAGCUUAACCUACAGUGGUUUGAUCGAAAACCAGGAAAACACGUAGAAAGAAUUUCGACACCGAAAGCUUCUAUUUGUCGGACCCUUAUAGUUCUCGAGACCUUACAAAAAUGUUCUUAGAAGUUGGGAAAAACCAAAUUCAAGGUGGGGAAGGGUUAGAGAGAGUUUUAGAAUGAGUUGUGAGGAAAUGAGAAGAAAAUUUGGAAGCUAUAUAUAGAGAUUUGGAAGGUGUACUGCACACAAACAAGAGGCGCGUGGCACCUUCGUGUCCUGCUGGCUCCUCUUAGCUUGUGCCACAUGUCGCAUGCUGAUCCGUCCACAUCUUCUUCUAGAAGCCGCCACGUUUCACCAUUUCAUGGUGCCACAUGUCGCUAUUUCCAUAGAUAAUGUCGCCUUGUCUUUAAAGAGAGGGGCGUCCGACACUGCCAUGUGUCACCCCUGGAGAGUGCCACAUUAUCGGUGUGUGCAGUGCACUUCGUGCGUGUAAAUGUUUAAAUUUUCGAAAUGGUUUAACUUCUUCAUAUGAGCUCCUUUUUCUACAUUCUCUAUAUCCCUGAAAAUCUCUCGACGAUAUAUAAAUUUCAUUUAGACACUGUCAACUAAUUUUGACUUUAUUUUUAAAGCUAUAUUUUAAACAGGCUUAAACUACUAAAGUCUGUUUAAAAUUCAUAAGUCUCUCAUAUGAUAUCCGUUAUUGACUGUCUUUUUAUUGACGGAACCAUAUCGACGAGAUCUUCAACUUUCUUUUAGAUCGUUUUUCCUAACAAUGAACCUAUCUUUACUUUGGUUUCUGAACCGAAUACGACUUCACUAAACUUAAAAAAAAUUUCAUUACUUCCUCGACUAGAUCACCAAUGCUAAAAAGUAAUCUAUCGAAGAUUUACUUUUUAUGAUACACAGAGUCGUGUUGGUUAAAUCACAAAACUUAGGAGACCCAUAACUUCUUGAUAUGAAGUUGGAUUUCAACGUUCUUUAUAUAUAUGGAAUCCUUGUCACACAUACUAUAACUGCGUUAAUAUUAUUCAUCCUAAAUAAUAUCUUAUUAAAAAGUCAUUAUUAUGGAUUAUGAUAACUUAUUUGUCUAGCCCAAAUUUAUAGGCAUUACAAUUACCCCCCCUUAGGAUGAUUACGUCCCUAAAUCAUCAACAAAACAGGACUUGUAUAAUGACUCUGCAUGUUUCCUUUUCAUCCUAGGUGCUAAGUGAACUCCUAAAACCUUUGAGUUUCCAAUUCUUAGACUUUUUGGACCGUUGACAGUGGUGCACCUACUCUUUCUUCUAAAUUGGAUGCUCCUGCUCCUUCUAGGAUAGACUUAACCUAAAUUAAGAUCCUUACUUCGAUUACCAUAUCUGACUGAUGGGUCACGUUCUAACGAACACUCAUCGUAUGAUGAAAUGGUUAUACUCGGGUCUCUUUGAGUCAGAAUUUUAACACGGAGGGUACCUUCCUCCAUGUACUAAUAUGAUAUAAUCACAUUCUAGUAUGUAGCACUUCUAGCUACAAGCUUCUUAAUUUUAGCGGCGAUCGUAAUACUUCUAUUGAUUGCUUAAAUUAUAUUUUCCUUCGAUUUGCUAUGUCGAUCUUACUUUGUAGAUUAGUCAGACUCGAUUUGAUAUGACCACUAAGGUCGAAAUAUCUAUAUUCACUACAGAAACAAAGGUAAUGAUUGAAAUGAGCAAAAUGGUUCAAAUACUAGAGUCUUACUAACCUUGUGACUUUCCCUAAUCCAAGUGUGAGUUCCGUGCUUCUGAUAGUAUACGCCUCUACUACUUUUCACACUUACUCAUAAGAAUUGUCUCGUAAUUCACUAAGUCACUAUGCAAGAAGAUCAAAAAACAACAUAACACAUUGAUUCAUAUAACAUAAUUAAGGAUUAUAUUAUUUACUGAAAAUGAUUACAAGAUUUUUUUAUACUAUAUUUCUAUUACAUCAGGCCACAUACCCUAAUAACAAUCAUUUAUCCCCUUCUCUCAAGUACUCGAGACAAGCAGAUCCAAAUUUUCACCCUUUUGUUUCAUCAUCAUGCCCCAUAUAAUAUGCCUUAUCUUUUGGAUUUGGUGAAAUAUUUGGCCUAGCUGCUUCUUUCUUCUUUAGGUAGUCGUUCAUGACACGCCCUUCCUCCUUACAUUCAAAACACACCCUUCUGUUAUACCGAAAAUUGUCAUAAUAAUGACCAGGUCUUCCACACCUGUAGUAGGUAACUUCUUUUUUGCAUUGCCCAACAUGCUUCUUCUUGCAUUUGUUGCACCACUCUACUUCAUUAUUACCCCAUACUUCUAGUCAUUGGGUUCACACCUUGAGAUUUUACUUUUCUUAUCGUACUUUGAGUGUCCUUCACCUCUCCUUUUCUCUCCAAGCUUAGUCUUGUCGGCGGUUUGCUGCUUGAUCAUAUCUUCCACAGAUUUUGUUGCCUAGAUGGCCGCUUCAAAGGUAAGUGCAUGCUUAACUGGCACAUAGUACUCCCAUGGUAGCCCCUUGGCGUACCUAUCAAUCUUGGGUAGUUCAUCUGAGACAAUGUGUAGGGUGAAAUCCAUCUUAUCGAUGAAGUUAUGGGUAUACUCUUACAUUGUCAAACUCUCAUUCUUUAAGUUCAAGAAUUGUUCUCAAACUCCAGUAUGUUCUCAGUAGAACAAUACUUACAUUUGAAAUGCACCCGAAACUCUGUCCAUGUCAGUUGCAAUGGCUCGUUUGGGAUAAAUAUAUUUCCCAAUGUGUUUUACCAGCGAACAACUAAGCCAUUAAAUUGUCUCACCGCAUAGGUGGUUUGCAACUUUCCUGAAAAACCGCCUAUAAUGAAAGUCUGUUCCAUCUCUGAAAUCCAGUCCAUAAAUCCUACCGGGUCUUCUUUUCCAGUAAAGGAUGAGGGUUUGCAAUUUAUAAAGUCCUUAUACUUGCAUCUACUCCUAUCAUCCCCUUGAUUCUGGCCGUUCCUCCUAAUUACUUGUGGUUCAACUUAACUCAUGGUUCUGCUAUAGUUUCCAUCCUCCAACUGUCUGUCUUUUAGUUCGGGCUAUACAACAGGCACAAAGGGUUCUCUUCCAUUCUCUCGGAUGACCUAUCUCAUUUCCACCCUCUACUCAUCUAAUAUGGCUCUAAUCAUUGUUAUUGUAAUAGGUUCAAUUACCGACAUUGCUUCAAGUGCAUGCUUGAUUAAAUGGGGCUUAAGCUUAUUGUUUUGGUUAUCGAUCCCUAAUCCACUACGUUUCCUCAUCAUGAUGUUCUGUAUACCAAAGUUGGUUGGGAUGAGAAAUUUAAUAUAAAUAAGGCUUAAACGCGUAAUUCUCCUCAGCCCUAAGAAAAGUUAUAUGCCAGUUCUUAUACCGUAAUUAAAUGUUUAGAAACCUGAACACAUAAAAUUUCUUAAUUCUAGUUCAGGAACAGACCUUACAUCUAAACAUAAAACGAGCUAGUACUUGUGUCAAUUCAGGUGUACCACCUAAAAUAUAGUAGACAGACAUCUCACGAUCAUUGCUUAACAUACUAAGUUUAAGUCUAGAAAUUUUCUAAAAUUCCUUGUUAGAUUAAACCAAUGCUCUGAUACCAACUAUGACGUCCCCAUUUUUAUAGCCAUAAAAGAUCUAUUUGUUUAUCCUUAUCAAAUUGUAGUAUUCUUUUAAAAAGAUUAAUUAUGUGAAAUUUGUCCCAAAAACAUGAGACAAUUUAUUAUCAAAUCAUUUUCGAAGAAAUGUGUUUUAUUUAGAAAACCCAUUAUGUCAUCGUCAAUACAGAAACAUAAGCAUCAACGAAGACUUACUACAUUUCAUUACAUUAAUGGUCUACAUCUCCUUGAAUCUCUCAACAAAUACGUACAUCAUUAUCGAUAUAUAAUUACAUGUGGUGCAAAGAAACUGAGUGGGUCAGCUUGGGAAACCGGGUGAGUACAUAAAGUUUUAAACCCAUAAUAUUAAAAUCUUUAAUUAUAUAUUCUUUAGCAUUCAAAUAACCCUAUUACCCUACUCUAUUUAUUCUCACUUACUAAUCCUAAUAUGAUGAUUUUGAGGGAUCUUUCUUAAAUAGUUUUUAUCAAGAGACAUCUAAAAUUCCCAGAUGAUUGUGCACGACAGUAUGAUAUUACUUUGGGUAAACACGACAACACGAUAGUACAUUAGUACUUUUGAUAGUCACGACAGUACAAUAGUACAGGGUUUAAGCAUGGAAGUACAAGAGUACUUAGGAUAAGAACCACAUUACAAAAGUACCUUGGAUAAGCACGAUGGUAAAAAAACACUUGGGAUAUACACGGUUGACACGACUUAUUAUUUCGCACGACUUUCACUAUCUAUCAUAACCACCAUCUCACACAGCCCUAUCGUAGUCUCUCAUUUUUUAUUUCGUACAACCCUUCACUACUGAAUCAUAUUAUUAAAUAUGAAAAAGUAUAGAAAAUUUAACCAAGUAAUAACUAUAUCAUGUUACUUGCACAUAUUAAACACAUCAAAAAAACAUACAUUGUAUUUAAGCAAUUACAAUACUUGUAUCAAGGUGUAAUUUUUAUAGUAACUAUGCACUCACCUGACUUAGGUAGGUGACUGGUGAUCUUGGAAAAGUUUUUCCUCACAACUUAGAUAUUCUCUUGACGUGGCCUAAGUAUGAUUAAUACAUAGUUUUAUUCUAACGAUCCUAAUGACUAUUAAUAGUCUAGAUCCUCACUAAUGCCAAUGUCUACAUCAAUAUCUAUCAAGUAAGCAUCAGCCAGGCAGGACAGUUGGGAGGCAUGAUCAUUUAGGCAUAAUAGUUUUUCUGAAAUCAAACAAGCAAGCCAACAUGACCAUUCUAGAUACCUCUCCUAUAUGUAGAUCAAUCAGUAUAAUGACUUGGAGUUACUGAUAUCCCUUAUUCAUAGGUUCAUAAUAACAACUUAUGACUAUAAAUAUAAGUUACACUAAACACAGAAGAGUGCAGCUUAACUUAUAGAGGUUUAGCAAAAACCAGGAAAACACGUGGAUAAAAUUCCGAAAUAGAAACCCUCAAUUUUUUGGAUCCCUAGAGUUCCCGAGACUCUACAAAAAUGUCCUUAGAAGUUGGGAAAAACCGAAUUCAAGGUGGGGAAAGCUUUAAGAGUUUUUUAGAAUGAGUUGUGAGGAAAUGAGAAGGAAAUUUGGAAGCUAAAUAUAGAGAUUUCGGAGGCCCGCCACACACUUUUGUCCUGGUGGCUCCUCGCAGCUUGUGCCACAUGUCGCAUGUUGAUCCGUCCACACCUCCUUCUUCUAGAAGCCACCAUGUUUCACCAUUUCAUGGUGCCACAUGUUGCCAUUUCCAUAGACACAAUCUCCUUGUCAUGAAAUAGAGGGGUGUCCAAUGCUACCACGUGUCGCCCCCUGAGAGAGCCACGUCAUCGGUGCGUGCGGUGUAAUUUACGCGCUUGAAUUUCUAGAUUGUCAAAAUGGUGUAACUUCUUCAUACAAGAUCCAUUUUUGACGUUCUUUGUAUCCCCAUAAAUCUCUCGACGACAUCUACAACUUUCAUUUAGACUCCAUCGACUAAUUUUGACUUUAUUUUUAAAAUUAUAUUUUAAACAAGCUUAGACUGCUAAAGUUUGUUUAAAAUUCAUAACUCUCUCAUACUAAAUCCAUUCACAAAUAGUUUUUUGUUGACAGAAUCAUAUGGACGAGAUCUAAAAAUCUUGUUUAGAUUGUUUUUCUAACAAUCAACCGAUAUCUUAUUCUAUUUCUGAGCCGAAUACUGCUACACUGAAAAUUUUGAAAAAUCAUAACUUCGUGUUACGAAGUCAGAUUUGGAUGUUCUCUCAUACAAGGUGUCGGUUAACGAAUACUACGACUUUCAUUUAGAUCACUAUGGAUAAAAAUUAAUCAAUAGAAGAGUUACUUUUUACGAUACAUAGAGUCGUGCCGGUUAAAUCACGGAACUUCAGAGAAGCAUAACUUCUUGAUAUGAAGUCGCAUUUCAAUGAUCUUUAUACCUAUUGAAUCCUUGUCACACAUACUAUAGCUUGGUUAAAAUUAUUCAUCCUAAAUGAUCACCUAUUUAAAAAUCAUUAUUAUGGAUUAUAAUAAAUUAUUUUUCUAGUCCGAAUUUGUGGUUGUUACAAUUAUCUUCCCUUAGGAUGCUUAUACCUUGGAAUCAUCAACAAAACAAGGUUGUAUAAUGACUCUGCACGUUUCCUUUACAUUGUAGGUGGUGACUUUAACUCUUAAGUCCUUCGUGUUUCCAUCUUAGACUUUUUGGAUCGUUGAUAGUGCUGCACCAACUCUUUCUUCUAAAUUGGAUCCUCCUGCUCCUUCUAGUGUAGACUUAACCUAAAUUAAGAUCGUUACUAUGAUUACCAUAUCAGACCGAUGAUUCAUGUUCUAAUGACCUCUCAUCGUAUGAUGCAAUGGUUAGACUCAAGUCUCUUUGAGUUAGACUUUUAAUACGGAGGGUACUUUCCUACAUGUUCUAAUGUGAUAUAAUCACAUUCUAGCAUAUAACACUUCUAGCUACAAGCUGCUUAAUUUUAGCGGCGAUCGCGAUACUUCUAUUGAUCACUUAAUACGUCGAACGUACUUUGUAGAUUAGUCAAACUCAAUUCGAUAUGACCACUAAGGUCCGAGUAUCUAUAUUUACUACCGAAGCAGAGGUAAUGAUGGAAAUGAGCAAAAUGGUUCAACUACUAGAGUCUUAGUGACCGUGUGACUUGACCUGAUCCAAGUGCGAGUUCUGUGCUUCUGGUAGUAUAGGUCUCUACUACUUUUCACACCUGCUCAUACUCAUCCCAAUAAUUUUCUUUAAGUUCACUAAGUGACAAUGCAAGAAGAUCUAAAGAAACUUAACACAUUGAGUCAUAUAGCAUAAUUAGGGAUUAUAUUAUUCCCUUAAAAUGAUAACAAGAUUUUUUAUACUAUAUUCAUAUGACAUCAGGCCACACACCCUUAUACUAAACAUUUUCCCCCUCCUCUCAAGUACUCUAGACAAGCAACUCUAAAUUGUCUCCCACUUGUUUCCUCAUCAUGCCCCAUAAAAUAUGCCGUUGCUUUUGGAUUUGGCGGAAUAUUUGGCCUGGCAUCUUCUUUUCUCUUUGGGAAGUCCUUCAUGACAUGCCCUUCCUCCUUACAUUCAAAACACACCCUUCCGUCAUACUGACACUCAUCGGAAUACUGACCAGGUCUUCCACAACUAUAGUAGGUCACUUCUCUUUUGCAUUGCCCAACAUGAUUCUUCUUGCAUUUGUUGCACCAUUUUGCUUCAUUACAACCCCUAUACUUCUUAUCGUUAGGUUUUGACCUUUAGGUUUUCUUUUCUUAUCAGACUUUGAGUUUCCUUCGCCUCUCCUUUUCUCUCCAACCUCCGUCUUGUCGAUGGUUCGCUGCUUGAUUAUAUCUUCCAUAGAUUUUGCUGCCCAUACGGCUGCUUCAAAGGUAGGUUCCUGCUUAACUGGCAUAGUGUACUCCCAUGGUUGCCCCUUGGCGUACAUAUCAGUCUUGGCUAGUUCGUUGGGGACAAUGAACAGUGUAAACUCCAUAUUAUCGGUGGAGGCAUGGGUGUACUCUUCCAUAGUCAAACUCCCUUUCUUCAGAUUCAAGAAUUGGUUCUCUAGCUCCAGUAUGUUAUGAGCAAAACAAUACUUUCAUUUGAAAUGUACUAGGACCUCUGUCCAUGACAGUUGCAAUAUAUCAUUUGCAAUCAGUAUCUUUCCCAAUGUGUUUCACCAGCGAACAAAUAGCCCUUAAAUUGUCUCACUGUGUAGGUGGUUUGCAACUUUCCUGAGCAACUGCAUGUAAUGAAAUUCUGUUCCAUCUUUGAAAUCCAGUCCAUAACACCUACAAGGUAUUCUUUUCUGGAAAAGGAUGAGGGUUUACAAUUUAAAUAGUCCUUAUAUUUUCAUUUACUCCUAUUAGCCCCUUCACUCGAGACGUUCCUCCUAAUUACUUAUGGUUCAGCUUGACCCACGGUUCUGCUAUAGUUUCCUUCCUUUGACUGACCUUCAUUCAGUUUGGGCUACACAACAGGUACAAAGGGUUCUCUUAUGUUCUCUCGAAUGAACUAUCUCAUUUCCUCCAUUUGCUCAGCUAACAGGGCUCUAAUCAUUACCGUUAUAACUUUUUCAACUACCGUUAUUGCUUCAGGUGCACGCUUGAUCACAUGGGGCUUUGAAGGUUUUAGUUAUCGACCCCUAAUCCACUUUGUGUUCUCACCAUGAUGUUCUAUGUUCCAAAGUAGUCGUUCGAGAUGAGAAAUUUGAGAUAGAGAAGGAUUAGACGCGUAAUUCUGCUUAUCACUCCGAAAAGUUAUAUGCCAGUUCUAAUAAUGUAAUUAAACAUUAAGAAACUUGAACACAUAAAAUUUCCUAAUUCUAGGUCGGGAACAGACCUUACAUCUAAUCAUAAAAUAGUAUUUUAAAUAGGGAACCUAAGGCAUGCUAUAAUUUAAACCAUUUAGCACAUAAAAGCAAAUUAGGCAUCUUAUCCUAAAAUGAGCAAGUGCUUCUGUAAAUUUAGGUGUAUCACCUAAAAUAUAAUAGACACACAUAUCAUGAUAAAUUUUCUAAAAUUCCUUGUUCGCUUAAACUAAUGACGUCCCCGUUUUUACGGCCAUAAAAGACCGAUUUGUUUAUGCUUAUUAAAUCAGAGUAUUCUUUUAAAAAGAUUAAUUAUGCGGAAUAUGUCUCAAAAACAUGAGACAAUUUACUAUCAAAGCAUUUUCGAAGAUAUGUGUUUUAUUUAUAAAAUACGAUAUGUCAUCGUCAAUAUAGAAACAUAAGCAUAAAUGAAGACUUACUACAUUUCAUUACACUAACAGUCUACAUCUCCUUGAAUCUAUCAGUAGAUACAUACAUCAUUAUCCAUAUAUAAUUACCUGUAGUGCAAAGAAACUGGAUGGGUCAGGUUGGGAAACCUGGUGAGUACAUAGGGUUUUAAACCCAUAAUAUUAUAAUCUUUAAUUAUAUAUUCUUUAGCAUUAAAUAACCCUAUUACCCCCGUUCCAAUUACUCUCAGUUACUAAUCCUAAUAUGAUGAUUUUGUGGGAUCUUACUUAAAGGGUUUUUUUUAUCAACAAACAACUAAAUUCCUAGAUGAUUAGGCACGGAAGUAUGAUAUUACUUUAGGUAAACACGACAACACGACAUUGCAUUAGUACUUUGGAUAGUCACGUCAGGCACGACAGUGUUGGGUUUUUAUUCAAAAACUAGUUUAAAAAUAUAAUAUUUGACAAUGGAAGACUUGAUCAUUUUUUAAUAACAUAAUCACGUUAAACCCACCAAAGAUCAUCUUGCAAAUUUUGGAAAGAAAACAAACACAACCAAAGAAGAAGAAAAAAUAACAACCUUUGUAGUUCUUUAGAUACUCUUGGGAGGCUUGGAAGUUGAUGAAAAAUAAUGAACUUAAGAGACACCAACAAGAAGCCGACUUGAUGUAGAUGCUGGUCUAAAACUCUUUACUCUUGUGUCAGUGUGUGUGAAGUUCAUAACCGAAGUUUGACCUUCAAGAGAGUAUAAAAGCAAGUAAUAUCUUCAAGAGAUAACAUAAAACAUGAGAGCAUGCAUAGAGAGGGGAGAAUUCAAUUUUUUUGUGCAAGAAUAAGAGUAAGAGAUGAAAGCCUUUCUAAUAAAGCCAAAUCUUUACCCAAAGGUGUUUAUUCUUUUAGUACAUCAUACCCCUACACCUAAGUGUUUCCCAUGUUUCUUAAGAGAUGUAAUUCUUUUAAUUUAAAUAAUCAAAAUCCCACAACAUGCUUCGUAGAAGCAUGAUACGAUUUAUAUAUAUAAAAAGAAGUCAAAGUUUGUAAUUUUUAUAAACUCUUUUAUAAAAUAUAAAUAUUAACCCUUUGGUAAAGGACAAAAAGUCCUUAAGGUCCACAAUGUUGUACAUGACUUAAUAAUUCAUACCAUAUGAAUUAUGUUAUGUUACUUACUAAUGAAAAUUAUUAUUUUAAAUAAAUAAAUAAACUCUAAUUUAAUUAUAAGAGUUUAUUGAAUAUUUAUUAAAAUCAGUUUCUAAUAAAUAAUCAAUUUGUAUCAAGUUGUUGUUAGUGUGACCCAUUAGUAUCAUAUGUUAAUGAGCAAUAUCACUUUAAUAUGAAUCUUGAGAAUAUAAUAUCUUUUCAAUCUCCCAGUUGCAAAGGAUUCAUAUUACCUUCAUCUAGACAUACGAGUUUGUGCCAUUCUAUCAAAGCCUAAUUCCCUAAAUGCUCCAAGCUAUAACUGGUAUAUAAGGUAUGUUAUAGCAACAUUUCACUACCCCCUCAACAUACGAGUUUGUGCCAUUCUAUCAAAGCCUAAUUCCCCAAAUGCUCCAAGCUAUAACUGGUAUAUAAGGUAUGUUUAUCAGUUAUCCCUUUCUCACAGACAUCAUGCUGAACGUGAGAUAUAUAUCACAAUCAAUCUCAUAUAGUGUUCAACUUUUUGUAAGGUAACUUAUAUGUCUAACUCUCAACACAUAAGAGGAACAAAUCCCACCUGUACUAUAUAUUCCUCUUGCAUAGUUCAUAGCAUACGUGAAAGUUGCUUUUUUGAGUGCCCGGUUAAGGACCAACGUUUUACCAUAUCAAAGCAAAACACUCCCUAGACUUAAGUCACACUAUGUAUCUUAGGUGUUAAGGAUACAAAGAUAGUACCUUUUAAUCAAUUAUCAUUCAUGAUAGCAUUUUACUAUUCCUAGUCCGAUGUUAGAAACAUCUUUAGCAUCACAGUGAUGCCUUUACUAGGUAUGAUGUUUAGGCUUAUUGCUCUAAGAAAAUAGUUUUGGACUAGGACCUUUAAGUUUAUACAAUUUCAAAUCUCUCACGAGAUUGUCUCUUAAUGUGCCAUCCCAAAAUUCACGGUCAUUUUAAAAAUUUUAUUUAUGCUUAUUGACAAUUAGAUUAUCCAUUUUAAAGAAUAAUAUUGCGGAAUUUGUUCCUAGAAAACAUGAUAAAUAUAUUACCAAAGCAUUUCCAAAGAAAUGUAUUUUGUUUAUAUUAAAACUUUGGGAUGUCAUUGUCAAUACAGAAACACAAGAAUAAAAAGACCAUACAUUUAUUUACAUAUCCUUUAAUCUGUCAGUGUAAUGUAUCUUUGUAUCGAUACGUGUGAUACAAAUAAAAUGAGUAGGUCAGGUUGGGAAACCUAGUGAGUACAUAGGGUUUUCAACCCACAAUAAUAUAGUUAUUAUGCUUCAUCAUCAAACAAUUAACCCGGUUACCCACCCGCAUUAUCUUCUUUAUUCUUAAGUAUCUUCCCAAAGAAUCAUCCAUUCCUCAAUAUUUAUUCCUAAGGAUUGUCCUAUGGAAUAGGCAUGAAAUCCAUUGUUGCCAAGAUUUAUAUAACAUGCACUAAGUCCAUAGUUUCCGAUGUUAUCUAUUAGGCACUAAGUCCAUAUCUACCGAUGUUAUCUAUUGGGCACUAAGUGCAUAGCUGCUAAUAUUCAUCUAUAGGGCACUAAAUCCAUAGCUGCCAACGUUCAUUUGUAAGGUACUAAGUCAAUAGUUGCGAGAGUUUAUUAAAGUACAUAUGGUGAACAUAUCAUUCAUGACACCUAUAGGUUGCGACUCUGCUAGCGUUCCACUGGACUGUCUAGAAUAGUCCCUGGUUGUCAUCUAUACUCUGCUAGAUGACCAGACCAUCGCUUUGGUCAAGGAUUCUCGUCAUCUUUCACCUCUUAUCAUUUAUAUCAUCUUUCAUCUCUCUUCAUCCAUAUCAUAUUUCAUCUCUCAUCAUUCAUCUCAUUUUUCAUCUAACCAUCUUUAUCCAUCAUGAUUAUAGGUAUAAAAUGUGUAUACAGUUUAAGUCGAAUAAAACAUGUAUAUUUUGUUCAUCCACCAUAGAAAUCAAGAACAAAAAUUAGAAGCACACACAACACGUAAUUUAUAUUAAAUACUUCAUAUAUAUGUGUAAGAUGAAAGUAACUAUGCACUCACUUUUUAAAGUGAUGGCUUGAAAUUCGGACAACGCUUCGCUUCUAAAAAUUGUUUUUUCCCUUAACGAAACCUAGCAUUAUUAUUUCUAACUUUUAGUCUAAUAUUUAUUGCGACUAAUUAAGUCAAUGUCUAUGAGCGAUAUUAUUUUAUAAAUGCUAAACAAUACUUUUCAAUUAAUAUGUACAGACAGGGUCCAGACAAGAAACACUGGUGGGCAGGACAAUUUUGGAAUUUAAUUAAGUUGUUUUGAAAUCCAACAACCCUAUGUGGCCAUUCAAACCAGAUUCCCUGUACCGCGAGCAAUUAAAAUGUAUUAUAAUUACACUUUUUAUAAUUUAUACUUAGCACAUAUAUUGAUUAUAGGUUCAUAAUAAUGAUAAUGAACUUAAAUAUAAGUUAUACUUAAAGAAGGGUAAGCAUAACACACUUACAAGGUAGUUUAGCGAAGAACCGGGCUCUGCGUGGGCAGAACUUCUGAGACGAAAACUCUUCUUCUCGGAGCCUUCUGGUGCUCUGGGACUUGCCUCCAACACUUGGGUAGUGCUAGGGAAUGGGAAGGGUUAAGAAGGAUGUUUGAGAGAGAAAGAAUGGGAAAGGUGUGAAGAGAAAUGAAGAAAAACACUUCUAUUUAUAGGCUGGGAGGCCGUGCAUACCUGGGGCGUACUUCGGAGUACGAGGGGCAUCAGAAGCCUACACCAUACGUACGAGGGGGCAGCUGUCAGCUUUGCAUGCAAGACCGUGGGGAGAAAGCAAGGGUUGAGAUGGUGCCACAUGGCACUCCUCGCAUCAGCCUAUACAUAACUUCUAAAUUUAGUAACUUUUGCAUAUGAGCUCCAUUUUUAAUGUCUUUAUAUGUACGUGUAGGUGGCAGCGAAAUCUACAACUUUCGUUUAGACUCCAUUGGCUAAUUUUGAAUUUAAUUUUAAAGUUAUAUUUUAACAUGCUUAGACAGUAAAGUCCAUUAAAAACUCAUAACUUUUUCAUCUAACGUCCAUUUCCGCCUGUCUUUAUAUCGUUGAGUUCCUAUUCAUGAGAUAUUCAAUUCUCAUUAAGGUUGUGUCGGCUAGAAAUUGAUCGAUCUAAAAUUCGAUUUUCGGGCUAUGCACUGCUAUGCUAAAUCUUGGAAAAAUCAUAACUUCCUCAUACGAAGUCAGAUUUGGACGUUAUUUUUAUUUAUGCUCUUGGUUUAAUGUAUACUAAAACUUUUGUAGAUCCUUAAGGCCGAAAAGUAAUUUAUCAAAAAUUCACUUUUUAUGUUACAUAGUGCCGUGCCGGUUUAGCCAUAAAACUUCGACAGGUCAUAACUUCUUCGUUUUAACUCGGAUUUUAGGGUUCUUUAUAUGUAUGGAACCCUUGUGAUAUAUAUUAUAACUUAGUUAAGAUUAUUUAUUCAUAUAACCUUCUAUCAAGAAGUCGUUUUUUGAUGCUUAUUGCCUUUAAAUUAACAAGCCCGAAUCUGUGGGCGUUACAAUUAUCUCCCCUUAAGAUGAUUACGUCCUAGAAUCAUCAACGAAAUAGGGCUUGUGUAAUGACUCCAUAUGUUAUCUUUUCAUCCUAGUUAAUAAAUGUAACUCUUAUGCCUUUUCUAACGAGUUUCUAACUGUUGGACUUCUUAAAUGUUGGCGGUGCUCAAUCUUGCAACCGCUCUUUAUCCUAUGUUGGUCUUUCAAUCAUAACCUUUGAGUUAUCAAGUCGAUCCUUAUUGGAGAAUCCUGAUCCUUCUUAAAAAAACUUAACUUAAGAUAAUUUCUUUACUUUGAUUAUUAUAAUAGUCCGAUAGGUCAUGUUCUAAUGACCUCUCGUCGUAUGAUGCAAUGCUUAGACUCAUAUCUUUUUUGAGUCAUAUUCUAGAAUGGAAGACACCUUACUUCAUGUUCUAAUGAGAUAUAAUCACAUUAUAGCAUGUAACAUGUCUAGCUACAAGUGUCUUAUUUUAACGGCGAUCGUGAUACUUCUAUUGAUCGCUUCGAUUAUCUUUCACUUAAAUCUUCUGGCAUAAGUCAGAUGUUACAUUGAAAUUGGUUCUCUGAACUACAUAGAAUACAUAUAUUAGUCAGAAUCGAUAUGAUAUGACCACUAGGAUCAGAAUAAUAAUCAUCUUCUUAGUCAUUACCGAAACAAUGGUAACGACAUACAUGAACAAAACGAAAUCAAUUACUAGUUCCUUGGUAACCUUGUAAUUUUCCCCGAUCCAAGUGUGAGUCCUAUGCUUCUAGCAGUAUAGGCCUUUUCUACCUUUCACACUGACUCAUACUCGUCCCAAGUAUUACCUCGCAGUUUUCCAAGUCACCAUACAAGAAUUUCACAUAGUCAUUUAACACACCAGAUAACAAAACGAAGGUUCAUAUUAUUUCUUGAAACGAUUACAUAGAUGUUCAAGUUCACCCUACACUAUUCCUCUUAUAAUAGGCUAUGGCACAUGAUACCAUUUAUAUGGCUACUUUAUAUCUUUCUCUUUGGAUAUAUAGAUCCAUACUCUUGAUCCCUUGUAUCCUUGCCUACUUCAUUAAGGAUGAUUUGGAAUGCUCUUGCCUUUGGCUUUGACGGUACGUUUGGCUUUGUAGCUCCUUCACUUAUUGGACUAUCUUGCUUGAAGUUUCCUUCACUACACUUAAAGCAGACUUCUCUCUUGGUUGUGCAUUCGAUGGCAUAGUGACCAGUCUUCCCGCAUUUGAAGCAGGUCACUUCUUUAGAGCAUCUCCCAAUGUGCUUCCUUUUGCAUUUGUCACACCACUUUUCUUCAUUGCUAUCCCCAUACCUCUUGUUUUUGGGGUCAAAUCCAGGAACCUAUUUUUCUUGCCGGAUCUUGAAGACCCCUCAAACUUCCUCUUCUUGCCAACUUCAACCUUGUUGGCGGUUCGGCCUUUAAUCAUUUCGUCAACAGACUUAGCAACCCAUAUGUCUGCCUCAAGAGUAGGUGCCUGGCAUACUGACACAAUAGGUUCGUCCUAAUUUUGUUGAAGUAAAUGCCUUGUCUCUUCAGUCUAAUGAUCCAACAUCAUCUGCGUCAUUUCUUGUACUCCUGCCAUCGUGAUUGGCUCGGGUGCAACUCCUACUUCUAGUUGACACUCAAUCACUUGUGGCUCAGGCUGCAAGUUAUCGCUUCUCAAUCCACUUAGAAUUCUAACCAUGUCGAUCUAUACACCAAAUCAAACGUUCGAUGUGCAGUGACAAGAAUUAAGAUAGGGAAAGCUUAAUAGAUGUAUAAAUCUCCUUAUCACCCCGAAAAGUUACAUGCCAGUUCUAAUACCGUAAUUAAACGUUUGGUCUUCUGAACACAUAAAGUUUCUAGAUCCGGUCGACAACAGAGCAUAGAUCCAAUCAAACGAUAGGAUCAUAAAGCAUCACAAAUCAUUUAGAACAUAAAAGCAAUUUAGGCAUUUUCUUUAAAUAAGCUAGUGCUUGUGUCUAAAAUAUAGCAGACACUUAUCUCACAAUCAUCGCUUAACAUUCUAAGUUUAAGUCUAGAAAUCCUACAAAUUCCUACUCCACUUAAACUAAUGCUUAUUUGAAAAUCAGAGUAUCCAUUGUAUACAAUAAUAUUGCAAAAUUUGUUCCCAGAAAACGUGAUAAAUAUAUUAUCAAAGCAUAUCCGAAGAAAGCUAUUUUCGUUAUAUUAAAACUUUGGGAUGUCAUUGUCACUACAAAAAAAUAAGCAUAAAUAGACCUUACAUUUAUUUACACUAAUGAUCUACAUCUCCUUUAAUCUCUCAGUGUGAUGUGUCUUCGUAUCGAUACCUGUGAUACAAAUAAAAUGAGUGGGUCAAGUUGGGAACCCUGGUGAGUUUAUAGGGUUUUUAACCACAAUAAUAAAGUUAUUAUAUUUUAUCAUCAAACAAUUAACCUAAUUACUCAUUCCCAUUAUCUUCUUUAUUCUUAAGUAUCUUCCCUAAGAAUCAUAUAUUCCUCAAUAUUUAUUCCUAAGGAUUGUCCUAAGGAAUAGGCACGAAGUCCAUCGCCACCAGAGUUUAUAUAACAAGCACAAAGUCCAUAGUUGCCGAUGUUAUCUAUUAGGCACUAAGUCCAUAGUUGCUGAUGUUAUCUAUUAGGCACUAAGCGCAUAGCUACCAAUAUUCAUCUAUAGGUCACUAAAUCCAUAGCUUCUAAUAGGGGUGGAAUUGGUACGGUAACGACUUUUUGUUUUCUUCAAACCGCGUACCGUACCAACUAUAGUUGGUAGGAGAAUUUAACUACCAGUACCGUACCAACUAUACUUGGUACCGGUUUAUUUGGCUACCAAAAAAUUUGGUUGGUACAUAUUGGUACUGGUAUAUACCAAAUGCUUUAACUAAUUUUUAUAUUUGAAGAGUUUGACACAUGAUUAACUAUAUUAGGCUUUACAUUGUAAUCAUCAUCCAACCCAAUGGUUAGAAAAAUUUCCAUAAUCGGAAACACAUUAAACAAAAAAAAUUGUCAUUGAUGUUUAGUACCUUUUAUAUGCAUAUAAAAUAAAAUAAAUAUCAUGGACAAUACAAAGUAAAUGUAUUCAACUAUGACGUUGUUAUAUAUUAACUAUACCGUUGUCUCACUGUCUUAAUUGUAAACAUUAUAUAUAAAGAAUUAACAAAAAAAUAUAUACUAGUCUAAGAAGUGAUUAGUUAAUUGUUUUUUGUUUUCUUGUUUUGAGUAAUACACAAGUAAUCGAGUAAUGUAUACGUAAUGUCAGACUUGCUGCUCUUAAUUGAAACAUAAAAAUGUGAUAAUUAAUAUUUCUUCAUAUGUAUUAAUUGAUACAUACAUAUAUAUAUAUAUAUAUAUAUAUAUAUAUGAAUUGGUUGGUACGAUACAACCGUGGUAUUCAAAAUUUUAUACCAUUAUCGUACCAAGUUUACUUAAUUGUUAUGGUAAUACCGACCAAACGUAUUGGCUACCGAACAUGUUGGCUACCAAUUCAAUUGGUUCGGUUGGUAACAUGUUGGUUGGUUCUCUAAGGUACAUAUUUGCCAGCCCUAGCUGCCAAUGUUCAUUUUGUAAGGCACUAAGUCCAUAGCUGUUAGGGUUUUUAGAGUACAUCUGGUGAACAUAUCAUUCACAAUACCUACAGGUUACGAGCCUACUAGCGUUCCAUUGGACUGUCUAUAAUAGUCCGUGGUUGUCAUCUAUACUCUGCUAGAUGACUGGGCCAUCGCUUUGGUCAAGGCUUCUCAUCAUCUUUCACCUCUCAUCAUUUGUAUCAUCUUUCAUCUCUCAUCACUCAUCUCAUCUUUCAUCUCUCAUCAUUCAUCUCAUUUUUCAUCUACCCAUCUUUACCCAUCAUGAUUAUGUUGGAUUAGGUGUCUAAGCCCAUAACUAUAAUUGGUAUGUACUUGAUUUGAUAUGUAGCAUGGUCCUUUUAGGUUGCCUUCACUCAUGCAACUUGAUAGGAUGACUAAUGGAAAGAGAGAGUAGGAUUUAUUAUAUGAAUAAUAAAUUGGUACUCAUAAUGAUUUUAUUAAUAUAUUAUAGGAUUAAUAUAUUAUUUGGAAAUCAUAUUAUUAAUUAGUAAUUAAUCAAAAAUUAAUUUGAUAUUAAUUUUAUGAUUGAAGGAACUAAUUAAUAAUGAAGGGGCUGUUUUGCAAAUCGUUGAUAGUUGUGGAACUGGGCUUAUGACUCCUUGUAAGUGGAGUGGACGAAAUUUAUGGGUGAACCCAUAAGAUUUCGUCCAAGGGUUCACUAAGGAGGUCCAUGGGUUUCUUUGAGCUUAAGUUAGGAUCUAGGGUUUCUUUAUUCAAGUCCAGCUUAAAGGUUAAGCAACCUAGCCCUAUAUAAAGCCCUAUAACCUAAGGAGUUUCGGCCAUAUGAUUUGUAAGAGUUUCCCAAGCCGAUUUCUUGUCUCUCAUUGUCAUCCUUAUUGUGUUGGGUGUUUGUGACUCUAUUAGAGGUGCAACACUUGGGGAACUAAGCUUUCAAGAGUCAAGGUGGCUCUUGUUAUAGCUACAUAACAAGUGAGGUAAUGAUCAAACCCUAAUAUUAUAUAUGAAUUUUGAAUUAUAUAUGAUAGAUCUGGGGUUAUUACUUUGAUGUUCAUAUUUGUAUGCUUAAUAGAGAAAAACUUAGAUCCAAAGCAAUUAGGGUUGCAUGAUCACAAAAGAUUGUAGAUAUGCUCAAAACCCAUCAGAUUAUAGGUAUAAAAUACAUAUACAUUUUAAAUUGAAUAAAACAUGUAUAUUUUGUUCAUACAUCAUAGAUAUCAAGAACACAGAUAAUAUGAAAACAUAGCACAUAAAUUAUAUUAAAUACUUCAUAUCUAUGUAUAAGAUGAAAGUAACUAUCCACUCACUUGUUAAAGUGAUGACUCGAAAUUCGGACAGCGCUUUGCUUCUAACAAUCAUUUUUUCCUUCGACGGAACCUAGCAUUAUUAUUGCUAAGUUUUAGUCUAAUAUUUAUUGCGACUAAUUAACUCAAUGUCUACGAGCGAUAUUGUUUUAUAAGUGUUAAACAAUACUUUUUGAACUACUAUGUACAGACAGGGGCAAGAAAUGAAACACCAGAGGACAUGACCAUUUUGACAUUUAAGCUGAUCUGAAAUCUAACAACCCUAUGCGACCCUUCAAACCAGAUUCUCCAUACCCCGAGCAGUUAAAAGGUAUUAUAAUAACACUUUUUACAAUUUCUACUUAGCACAUAUAGUGCUGAUAGGUUCAUAAUAACGAUAAUGAACUCAAAUAUAAGUUAUACUUAAAGAAGGGUAAGCAAUAACUCAUUUAUAAGGGAGUUUAGCGAAGAACCAGGCUCUGUGCGGGCAGAACUUCUAAGCCGAAAGCUAUUCUUCUUGGAGCCUUCUAGCGCUCCAGGACUCGCCUCUAACACUCAGGAAGUGCUAGGGAAUGGGAAGGGUUAAGAAGGAUGUUUGAGAGAGAAAGAAUGUGAAAGGUGUGAAGAGAAAUGAAGAAAAAUACUUCUAUUUAUAGGCUAGGAGGCUGCGCAUAUGCGGGGCGUACUUCGGAGUAUGUUGGGCAUACUCGGUACGUGGGGCGUCUGAAGCCUACGUUGCGUGUAUGAGGGGGCAGUUGUCAGCUUCGCAUGCGAGACCGUGGGGAGAAAGUGAGGGCUAAGAUGGUGCCACGUGGCACUCCUCGCAUCAGCCUAUACAUAACUUCUAAAUUCUUUCACAUACGAGCUGCAUUUUUUAUUUUGUUUAUAUCCAUGUGUAGCCAGUGACGUAAUCUACAACUUUCGUUCAGACUCCUUUGGCUGAUUUUGACUUUAUUUUAAAGUUAUAUUUUAACAGGCUUAGAUAGGUAAAGUCUGUUAAAAACUCUUAACUUUAUCAUCUGACGUCCAUCUUUGUCUUCUUUAUAUCAUUGAGUUACUAUUAAUGAGAUCUUCAAUUCUCAUUUAGGUUGUGUCGGCUUGAAAUCGACCGAUCUAAAAUUCGAUUUUCGGGGUAUGCUAAACCUUAGAAAAAUCAUUACUUCCUCAUACGAAGUCAGAUUUGGACGUUCUUCUUAUGUACAUUCUCGAUUUUACAUAUAAUAGGACUUUUGUUUAGAUCCCUAUGGCUAAAAAGUAAUUUUAUCAGAAAUUCACUUUUUAUGUUACGUGGCGCUAUGCCAGUUUAGCUGUAAAAGUUUGACGGGUCAUAACUUCUUCGUUAUAACUCAGAUUUCAACGUUCUUUAUAUGUACGAAACCCUUGUGACAUAUACUAUAACUUAGUUAAGUUUAUUAAUUCUAAAUAACAUUCUAUCAAAAACUCAUUUUUUGAUGCUUAUUACCUCUAAAUUGACUAACCCAAAUUUGUGGGCAUUACACUUAAGACAUGAACCUAUACAUUGAAGUUGUAUCUAGUGAAUGUUAUUGUUUCAUUAAUUCAUUAAAGAAAAUGACAAUUCAUGGUAAUGAGAAUGGAUUAUUUAACUACAAAAUUUUAACAAAAUUCAUGUUGUAUUUUCAAUAUUUAAAUUCUUUAAUAAUUAAUACCCUUUUAGUUUUCCAAAACAUUAAUUAUCAAAGUCUAGGAUUCAAGUUGCAAAACGAAUAAAUGGUUAGGUAUCAUUUAUCCCAUCCACUUGAUUCAACUCAGUUGAUAUAGAUUAUAAAUUAUAUCUUACUAUAUAAUUCCUAGAGUUAUGGGAUCACAAAUAACAAAUUUAGUUAGACAUGUUUGAUCAUACACAUUAAACAACCUUUGUUUUUUUAAGACAACUUUAAAUGACAAAAGAUGCAUGAAAACUUUUGUCACAAGAAAUAACAAUUAUAAAGUUAUCAUAGAAAAUAUGUGUGAACUUGUUUUUAUACAAAACCAAGUUAUCCAUAUUCUCCAAAAACUAAUAUUUCCAGAAAUCAAAAAAUCUAACCGAACGUACAAGGUGGCUCUUGAUACCAACUGUUGGGCUUUUAUUCAAAACUAGUUUAAAAAACAUAGUAUUUGGCAAUGGAAGACUUGAUCAAUUUUUAAUAACAUAAACACGUUAAACCCACCAAGGAUCAUCUUGAAAAGCUGGAAAGAAAACAAACACAACCAAAGAAGAAGAAGAAAAAAUAACAACCUUUGUAGUUCUUUGAAUCCUCUUGGGAGGCUCGAAAGUUGAUGGAGAAUGAUGAACUUAAGAGACACCAAUAAGAUACCAACUUGAUGUAGAUGCUAGUCUAAAACUCUUAACUCUUGAGCAUGCAGUUCAUAACCAAAGUAUAAAGUUCAAGAGAGUAUAAAAGUAAGUAAUAUCUUCAAGUGAUAACCAUAAACAUGAGAGCAUGCAUGGAGAGGGGAGAAUUCAGAUUUUUUAUGCAAGAAUAAGAUUAAGAGAUGAAAGCCCUUUUAAUAAAGCCAAAACUUUUCCCAAAGGUCUUUAUGCUUUAAGUACAUCAUACCCCUACACAUAAAUGUCUCGUAUUCUUCUUAAGACAUGUAAUUAUUUUCAUUUAUAUAAUCAAAAUCCCAUAACAUUAUGAUAAGAUUUUUAUCUAUAAAAAGAAGUCAAAGUUUGUAAUUUUUAUAAACUCUUUUAAAAUAUAAAUCUUAACCGUUUGGUAAAAGAGAAAAAGUCCUUAAUGUCCAAAAUGUUGUACAUGACUUAAUAAUUCAUACCAUAUGAAUUAUGUACUGUUACUUGCUAAUAAAAUUAUUAUUUCCUAUAAUUAAAUAACCUCCAAUUUAAUUAUAAGAGUUUAUUGAAUAUUUAUUAAAAUCAAUUUAUAAUAAAUGAUCAAUUGUAUAAAUUGUUGUUAGUGUUGCCCAUUAGUAUCAUAUGUUAGUAAUAUGAGUUUAAUAUAACUCUUGAGCAUACAAGAUAUUUCAAUCUCCCAUUUGCAUAAGAUUCAUAUUACAUUAAUAUAGACAGUGGUGAAUGUCUAGCAACAUUUCACUGCCCUCAUCAACAUACGAGUUUGUGCCAUUCCAUCAACGCCCAUGAAACAUCCCAAAAAUAUAGUACAAAAUUUUCAUUUUUAAUUUAAGUAAAACAGUUUUCCAAUCAUCUUCCAUACAUCCCAAAUAAAACAAGUGUGUCAAAUAUCAUAAGAUUAGAGUGAAAUAUCUAGUGCAUAAUCUAUGUGGUGUGUGUAAUGCAGUCAUCUUAAGCUAUUCUCCUUUGAACCGAAGUACCUAAAACAUAAACUGAAAACCGUAAGCACAAAGCUUUGUGAGUUCCCCAAGAUACCACAUACCACACAUACAUGAAUCAAAUACUGGGCCCCCGUCCUCUGUCGGGCCUCGCCCGGUCUCGAGUCCCACUUGCCCUCGGGCCCCGCGCUCCCUCUCAGCCUCGGGCCUCGCUCGACAUCGAUCCCUGCUUGGAUUACAGAUAUGUCAAUCAUAGGCCGCGCCUAACAUUGGGCCUCGACCGAUAAAUGCAUGAUCACAUAAUCAUAUAAUCAUAUAAACAAAUAACCAUAUCAACGUAUAACCUUACUAACCUAUGAAAUAAUCAUACCAUACAUAUCAAACGAACCGGAAAUACCUGAAACCAUAAACCACAAAAUGUAAGCACAAAGCUUAGUGAGUUCCCCAAAUACCACAUACCAUACAUAGCAAACAAGUCAUACAUACCAUACAUAUCCAACAAUCAAUAAAAAGUGAUAUGUGCCAACCAUAGUCUUGCCAUUAUGCCACGCACCGUACCAUAGUCUUCCUUGCCAGGCUGGGGGCCAAAACCCUGGGUCUUACAAACAAGUGCCAGGAGCCACCUCUUGGUCUUCCAUGCAAGCAUCACAAAGACAACUAGCAUACAAACAACAACUACUUAACUAAUUAAUUGCAAGAGUCAAGACUCUAGUCUUGCAUACAGAUUGCCAGGAGCCAUCUCCCAGUCUUUCAUACAAUUGCCAAGGGCCACCCCCGAGUCUUUGUAUAAAACAUAAAUCACAUGGGCCGACAUUUGUGCCUUCGACCCAUAAUACAAUGAGGAGUUUAACCUCGAAUGUUGAAGCUCACUGAAAGAAAUCCCUAGCUGCUGUCCUGAUGACUAUCAAUACAAAAUAACACCCAAUUAACAAUUGGGUUCCAAUCUAUGGUCCAAAAUCCAUACUUGGGUAAAAUGACCAUUUUAGCCAUGGCCUAACUUAAACCAAACUGAGGCCUAAAUCCAUAAACCAAAAAGGCCCAAAACCAAAAUAUCCACAAAGGCCCACUUAUGGCCCUUAUUUCCAAGUUUUGCCCAACCCCAUAUCGGCCUUAUCCUAAUGCCCCAUAAUUUCCUUAGUCCGAAAGUUGAUCUCAGAUGGAAAAAAAGGCCCAAAGCAAAAAAGUCCAAAGGAGUGGUCCAAAGAUGCGAAGCCCAAAAACAUAACAAGUCCAAAACCCAACUGAGCAUUGUACGUGGGGCGUACGCUCAGUUACGCUAGGCGUACUCGACAAAUCCAGAUUGCGACGACAACUCGAUAUGAUGGGCGUACGGUUAGUUAUUUCGGGCAUAAAAUGACUAAUUCCAAAACUGAUAUUAUGGCUUAACUACUUAAGUACUUUACACCCAAAUUUCAAAGAACCUUAAAAUAAAGCUGUUAAUGUAUAAAGUUGGCACCUUAAUGCAAUUGUAUGUAUCAAUGGGACCCAACAACCAUAUUAAUCUAUUAAGACCCAUAUAAAUCCAACUAGAACAUGCAUAUAUCGACCAAAAGCAAGUAUCAAGAUACCAUUUUUACGAACUUACAAACUCAGAAAGGGCAAGAUCUAGCAAUAUUAGCUCCUGGUGUGGCUCAAACUCACAAGGAGGACUCAAAACCUUAAAAUAAGCACAAAUCUAGCCUUAAACUCAUAAAGGAUAGCAAGAAGCCAUGGUAUGAGUUUGAUACCUUAAAUGAGCUAGAGAUGAAGCCAAGAGUCUAGAUCUAUAAGUCUUCCGUUGAACCACAAUCUAGCACUAAACAUUUUUUCCUUGAAAAUGAGCAAAAGUACACCAAAAUGCAGACUUAGAUCUUACAAACACUCAAAGAGAGAUUAGGGUUUCCAAAAUGAGGCUAAAGGUCAGUGGAGGCUAAGAAAUGAGAGAGCCUUAAGCUUAUAAGGGUUUUUAAAUAGUGCACAAGCCCUAAAUAUUAGGGUUUGGCACUCUGCCAAUUACGCUAGGUGUACCCUAGCUUACGCUGGACGUACUCACCUAGGCACGCGCCAACUUAUUAUGUACGCAUGGGACCUAUCUUGCAAAUCUUUUCAACUAGGGACCAUUUCUUCAAUUAUUUCAAAUUUCCCUAACAUCCUCAUCUUAGGUCCGUUUCCAACCAAACCUUAUAUCCAUGGAAAGGUGGCGAUAAGCCCUAUGCUUCUAACAACUCACCAUAGCCUUAAAACUUCCAGAACAAAACUGAAAAUUCAUAAAUGACCGAGUUAUGAAAAUAUGAGUAUACCCUUGGGCUCAGAAAACACCAUCGAACAGCUGGAUCACUUAAACCAUAACACCCACAUCCGAAAAGGUCUAAAUCCUUUCUUUCCCAAGGAACUAAGCUUCAUGACAACUGAUGAUUGGGCCGCAACCUCGAAUAAUGAGGCAAAUCCAAAACCGAGUGUUACACCCUUGAUAGAUACACUAUUUAAACUUGCAACCAUGAUCACUCCGAUGAAAACUUCCUGUUCUCUCUUAACGCAUCAAUAAAACUAAUCCAACCAUUUGCAUACUCGAACUGAAAAAUCUUCUGACCCAUGAUGCUGAAACCACAAGUCAAACCGUCCAUCGAAUCAUUAAUCUGAGUAUCCAGUUCUCCCCCGCUUAAGGUUUGAACUACCUACAGUUCUCGUUUACUACAUCAAAAUCUCGAACUAGCUUCACCAACAGUUAUAAUCCUUGAUUCUCAUGGACUUUACCCAAAAUAGAAUCACAUAGUCCAUCGAAUAUUUAGCUCCACCCUAGAACCCUAUCAGAAAAGAAGAAAAGAACAAACAAUAGAGCUAAGCAGAAAUUCUAAGUCUAUGUAAUUCAAUUCAACAGGGUCUUUUGACGAAUGAAAGUACACAUGAAUGUUCCUAAGGCAACAUGACACUCUUGCCUAUCAACAAGCGAUCAGGUUACACAUCCUACUCACGAGUCGACCAACUAAGACAAGACCAGAGUCAACCGAGUUUCACCACCCAACCCGAGCAUCAAUAGGAUCCAACCGGCCAACAUAAUAUACAAAACACACUAGCUACCCCUACGUGUUUUGGGUUCCACCCCAUCCUUUUGGAUCAAUAAAGACCAUGGAAUUUACACACAGACAAUUGGUGGCAAGCGCUCUUUUCUAAUAUUCAAAGGGAAAGGCAAUUGAUGCUUAAUUGCUUACAAAUUGAGUGCAUACUAAAAUAAAGAGAAAGCUACUGAAUAAAUAGCCCAAAGAAAACUUUGGAAUAGUGACAUGAUGAACUUUAAUACAUACUAUUAGAAUACAUGAUCAACGUUAGUGGAACAUAGAAAAAUACAAUAAUUAUAUUGAAAGGAACUUCUUCGAGCUCCUAGGCACAUUUAAUUGGAAUAUGUGGUUCAUGAAGUGAAACAAACAACACAUGGGGUCCGAUAGAAGAAUUUCUAGUUGCUAUAACUAUAACACGGCAUGAAAUCUUUAAUAAUAGGUUUCACUCUCUCUGUUAUCUUAAUAAUACAGAAGAGGAUUAUCCUGUAUGCAACAAGCAUACCAAACAAGAUUCCCAGGUCAACCCACUUAGAGUAUUGCAUCUCGAUUUGCAAUACACUCUUCAAUAUCAUCUCACCAUCAACUGUAGGAGGACCUCCUGAGUACUCAGGGAACUUUAGCCCUUCAAACUCAUUUUUAUACAAUCCUUGUAAUACAUACCUAUGGAACGAAAUAUAGUACAUAGGGUAUCUCCAUAUAACAUGGGGUAAAUCAUUUGGCAAUCGAAAGAUCCCUGACGCUAGUAUCAUCAAUCCUUGGAUUCCAGCACCACAUAUGAUCCCCAUGAGAAAAUUUGGAACAAUGGUAGCUACAAUCAUCAUAAGACACUCAGCCAACAACAUUGACGCAAAUAUUACUAACACAAAAUAGAUAAAUAAUUUUGGUUCAGUUUGAAGUCCCAUGAGUGAGUAAGCUAUUGCUCCGGGGAUUAUGGAGAUGAGAAGAAGGUAUGGUGUUGAAGAGAUGGUGUUGCUGAUAACGAAUGAUCCAACCGUGUAAUGCCCAUCUAAUCUUUCCCAUUGAAAGACCUAUAUAUAGUUAUGAUAUAGUUAUUAGAAAAGGAAAAUAGUUUAAGUGCAUUAUUUUAUUCAAGAACAAGAAUAUAUAAGAUAUGUAAACUAACUUUUACUUCCUCCACAAAGGAGGGGAACCCGCCAAUAGCUAAAAUGGUCAAGAAUGAUGAAACAAACAUGAUCAUUGAAACCCUAUCCUGCGCCAUUAGGAAACAAAACAAUCUAUUCUCAGUAGGUCAACAUAUGAUUAGAAACAACACCAAUGUGUUUUCUUCAUCAAUAUUUUAUCCAAAAUUGACCUUGGUGGUAGAAAUUGGUUACAAACUAUAUAAAAUUGCAACGAAAAGCCCUACUGUGUCAUCAUACUUUAUAAGUGACAAUUUCUUUUCAGCAAAUACGGAAAGUUUUCAAUAUUUGCAGUGAUGAGAAAUUUGUAGUUCUCCAAUCAAAUGAUUUCCCACACAAAACUUGCAUUCCUAUAUUUCUUAAAGAUCCAUGAUUCGAAUAAUAGUAAAUAAUAAAUCAAAGUGAAUUUCAAACGAACACCAUGAAAUCAGCAUAUGAGACGCUUAUUAUUUUGUGCUAGUUUAUUCUUUACUACCAUGAAUUUUAACAUAAAAUAGGGGAUUUUGGGCGUGUUUGACAGAGAGCUUUUGCGAAUUUUUAUCUUUUAGCCUUUAAAAAUAAGCUCAAACUAAGUGAUGAAAAACUUACAUGAAUAGAGCCAAAUCCCAAACCAAUGUGGAAAAAGAUUGUUCCUAGUGAAAAACCAAACCCAAUAUAUAUGCCAAGGCGCAACCAAUAGUAUCCUGGAUCACGGUACAUGUUUAUAAACGAUCUUUGCGAUAACACCGAGCACUGUGUAAUGAAUUUGGCUUGUAGGCUUCGUUCUCUCAGAAUUAGGUCUCCUUUCUAUAAAAAAACACAUUCUUUUUAUUAUAUUCUACUAUAAUGUAACCUUUGUUAUAAGAAAGAACAAAGCAAAUAUGAUGUACCUCUCUACAUAUAGUGGAUAUUUCACUUUUCACUUCCGUAUACAUCUCGGAUGACUUGUAAGAUUCAGCAAGUGCAUUGAUUAUGUGCUCAGCAGGAACCUCUCCACGAGCAGUGUCCUUUAUAAACAGCAAGAAAGGGAUUAUAAUAGUGGGAAAAGAGCAUCAGUUGAAUAAGCAUUGAUCUAACAUGAACUUUGUGAUUCAGUAAAACGAAGUUUCAGUUAAAACCAAGGAUGUCAUAUUGAAUUCUAUGAGUAUAUAUGAAGUACUACUUAGACGAUGCAUAGAUAGCAACCUUUACAAUAAUUUUGACUUCUUAAUCGAAAAGUGAUAUAGCAUGACAACAUUUUUUUCUGUUUUAAUUUUAUCAAUCUUCUAUGACCGAGAUUUAACAAUUGUAACCUACCUUAUCAAAAUCCAUGUUGAUUGUCAUAAGGUAAUGAUCUGGAGGACUCUGGAGAUCUGGGCAAGGAAAACCAUUUACUGCAAAAAACUGAAAAUAACAAUAGGAGUUAUAAUUAAAUUCAUCUUCUUAAUAUAUAUUAAUAUCAUUAUUAUAAUAUUUUUCAUAAACACAUGCUGAAUAGAUUACCUGAUUUGCAGCCAAAGUAGGACCAAAGUAUAUUGUUUUCCCCAUAGAGAGAAGACAAAGAUUGUUAAAGAGUCCAAAAAGUUGACUACUAGGUUGAUGGAUUGCUGCUAAAACUGUCAUCUGGUAUUGCCGAGUGAGCUUCACAAUCUGGUUCAUGACAUGGUAUGAAGUUGCGCUAUCAAGACCACUCGUAGGCUCAUCAAGCAACAGAAGUUUGGGGUGUGUCAGGAGCUCUAAGCAGAUGCUUACACGCCUCUUUUGGCCACCACUUAGUGCUUUAAAACCCCAGCCUCCUAUUCUAGUGUUCACACAAUCUUGGAGCCCCAUCUCCCUUAUUGUUCUAUCUGCUCUCUCCCUCUUCUCGGAUCUUGGCAUCAUUUUGGGCAGUUGGAGUUCAGCUGAGUAGUACACGGCUUCUUUCACGGUUAACGUCCACAUUAAAACUUGUUCUUGAGUCAUAUAUGCCUACGUAAGAUAUAGAGUUAUUGUCAUUGUCUCCCAACAAACUAUCUUUUGACAUAUAUUCUGGUCAUUUAAGUAAUUUUCUUGUAAUAUGGAUCUUUAAACUCUAAAAAUCCAUGUCAACAAGACCAUUGCUCCAUAAGGUUGAAGGGAGUGGUACCAUGCUUAGGAUGUUGCCACAUCAGAUUUUUUGAAGCCAGAGAGUAUUAGUAUCCAAGUUGUAAAAAGGUAGAAAAUGGUAGUGUCUUAGCUUAAUAGAUUUUAUUUUCGAAAAAAAAUUAAACAAAGAAAACAAAAAAGGAUCAGCCAAUGAAAACCCAUUAUCCAAGUUUCUCUUUCCCCUCUCCUCUCUCCUCUCGCACGUGGGGAGCCUUCAUUUGCAGCGCGUCUAGCGCCUUUGAUGGGGGUGGUGUGCGGUGCUUUGGCGAGGGUGCUAGCGCCCAAAGCCUAACCGAAGAGGUGAACAUGUUACAAUGGUGAUGUGUCCAAACGACACUGACUUGGCGUCCAUGUGGCUUUUUCUAUUAUAAUAUUUUCCUUAUUAUUACUAUUAUUAUUUAAUUCACCUCCAUCUCCCAUAACUACCACGGUCCACCUACCACUCCAUCCAUCUCCAACAUUAAAGAACAAGAAGAGCAUUGAAUAUAACUACCGACAACAGCUUAUAAAGCAUAAACACAAUCUACGAGAAGCUUUAGAAGCAAGCUUCAAGAUAAAAAGGAAUUGAACUCAUAGAAUCUUUUAGGGAAUCAACACAAUGGAAGAUCUUUACUCUGAAUCUGCAGUAAACAACCAAGAUGACUGCCUUGAAAAAUCGAGUUGAAGUUCAUAAAGAACUGUUGAAACAAGUAAUAAAUAGUUCAUCAUAAACGAUUUGAACAUCGAUCUCUAUGUUUUUGGAGUUUUUUGUGAAGCCAUGAUGAGCCCAUUGUAUAAGUAGUUGAAUAACCAUUAUAGGUCUGUUUACAUCUAAAGUCAAAUUUUUUCUAUUUUGUGAUUUUCAUCCUACCUUUGUUGCAUCUCUUCCUCUCCACCAUCAAUGCCAUUAAUCGUUCUCCAUUACUAUGGCUUUGUGUGCGAUCAUGAAACCCGGGGAAAAUGGGAGGGACAGAUGGAGGGGGAGGGGUGAAGAGAAAAAAAACCGAUUAAUGUAGCGUUAGUUCAUUAUUUAUUUAUUUUCUCUAAUGUCAGAAAAUUAAAAAGAAGAAAUAUACCUACCCACUUCAACAUCAAUUCACUGAGCAAACAGGAAAAUAAAAAGGCAUAGCUAAUAGCUAUGAUAAAAAAUAAUAAUAAUAAAUAAAAUAAAAGGACUAAUGACUAUAUCUAUAGCUCAACAAUAAUCAAGAAAACACAUAACUUCUAGAUAUUGUAAAAAAUGGGUUCAAAUAUGGAAGAAAAAAAAUGCAAACUUUUGUGCUUUAUUUGUCUUGAUCAUGAGAACGUAUAUUUUCAUCCAUUAAUUAAGUAAAAAAACAAGUGAUUUAGCGUAGGAUUGCGUGCUUCCAUACCAAAGUGCCAUAGGUAAGCCUCUGUUUUUGUCCGUUAAUUAGAACUCGUCCAUUGUGCCUUGUAUUGGAAGCCAACCUCCCUAACAAUUAAUUAAAUAUUAAACAUGCAAAUCAUCUAAAAGAUGUAAUGUAGGGAUAAAGUGGAUAUAAUGGAGAAUUAUAUGCAGUAAACACGUAAUGUAAGGAUAAAGUGGAGAAUUAUAUACCAGCCAAUGAAUCAAGGAGAGUGGACUUCCCACAACCAGAAGGACCCAUAAUGGCAACAAUCUCUCCAGGUUUAGCAUAACCAGAGACACCAGAAAGUAUAGAUUUACAUCCAUCUUUCCCUGCAUUCCACUCUGAGCUUGAAACAACUACUCCAAGCUCUUCCCAUGUCAAGUACGCUAAACUCCUCCUUUCCUCCACAACACCCGACUCACACUCAACAGUUUCGACGUCUGGUUCUGGACUAAUUCCGUUGAUAUGUACCUGACUACCCAUGCAAGAUCAAAGCACAAAAUAAAUAACUAUUGAGAGAGAAAGAGAGAGUGAGGGUAACUUUAGAGCAAUAUGAAAAUUGUGACCGGAGUUGGGGUUAUAUGCCUAUAUUAAUAACUUUGAGAAUUCACGGAUACUUUUUUUAGUAAACAUUGUAUACCACAUAAAAAAACUAUAACAAAACGUUCUAAAUUACCUAAGAUGUGGUAUGACAUGGCUAAAAAUGUUCCAAUUUUGCAAAUAAUUCAUAAUUUACAAAAGUACAAAAACGAGCCUUAUGGUAUGUAUUUUUUUUUUUCUAGAAAAUGGUCCAAAUCAUGAAAUUUUUGGAUUGGUAGUUGUUCUGAACAUGUUUCGUAUGUGGUUUUGGUCUCUCUGAAAUAAAAAGGACUAAAUUGCCUUUAUUAUGUUUACUUUUUCAUUUUUUUUCUUUUCUAUAAGUAUUUAUGUUAUUUUAAAUAAAGAUAAAAGUCCACAUAUCCUAUAUACCCACCUCCUCUCUCUCAUACAUAUACACUAUUCGUACUACCACGAAACACCAUCACCACUCCAACCACUGUGAGCCACCCUUGAACCUCUAUAGAACCUUCGCCAACCCCAUCAACCACCCAUAUACCCAUCACAUUCAUCACCACCGAACGCCACCUUUAUCCAUCCACCAUAGCCAAUACAAACACACACCAUGACGGUGGCAAGAAACGAAGGGCUCUGAUAAACAUGGAAAAGAUGAUGUAGUUGUCCGACGCUGAAUGGUGACAGAGCGAUGGAGGUCAACGAUUAUUCCCCACCCUUAAUUUCUCACCAACAUCGACAACUAGAAACAACUCAAGAAUAUCGACACACACACUAUCAAUAACUUUGUUAUAGGUGUGUAAAUUGUAAACUAUUCCCUCCUUUAAAAUUGAUUUCCAGAAUUCUCAAAGAAAUCGAGACCCACUUUUGAUUUUGUCGUGUGUGUCUUAAUGGAAAAAAGAUCAAACAAAGCUCCACCCGAUUUCUAGGGUUUACUCAUGUUCUUUAUUUUCAUCCUGUAAUUCAGAAUUAGUUCAUGUUGAUGACUAUUAAUAUAAAUUGAAUAUAGAGUGUAUGUUAAAUCCGUUGAAUGGUUAUUGGGGUUUGAAUCACUCCUAGAUUUUUUUUGAAACCAUGUUGAGAUGUUCUUCACUAAUAAUGAUUUUGUAUCUGAGUUUUUUUGGUUUGAAAUUUCUCAUAGAGUCGAAUCAGAUCGGGAGGGGAGGUUGGUUGUUCAUCGAAGAUGUCAGAAAGAAGGGAAACACCACAACCUUUUGGGUUAGCCAGUUAUAUCACUAAAUCCAGAUACCCCAUGAUUUGUGUUUGUUAAUUGGAUCAAGUUUAUUGAUAAGAUGGAUUAUAAUUUAAGCUUCGAGUAAGGUUGAAUUUAAAGCAGGAAUACAUUAGUUCACAGUUGAAUUGAUCAUUGAGUUUUGGUUUGUGACAACUGUCAACAUUCGUCAAUGAUCAUCAAUCGGAAAUGUGACGAACGCUAAUGUAAUAGGUUUAAUGUAUAAUAUUUGACAAAUUUUAAUGAAAAUAAAAUAUUGUACAUUUAAAUAUAUAAGAAAAAGAGUGAGUGGAAUCUAUCAAUUGCGAAAAAUAUAGGUGCACAAAUUUUGUAUUAGUUUGUAUAAAAAUCAACAUAAUCCGAAAGUACGCAUCAACAUGAUUCCGAAAAUAUAAAAACAUCAAAAAGGGGAUUCAUACGCAAAAGUUAUGGCCAACGACGUAAAACGCAAAUUAGCCAAAAACGAAACUUCAAACGCUUCGUUAGGUGCCUUAGGAGUUGAAAUUUCAAAUUUGGAAAACUUUCUUAUGAUCAUACAAAAAUCGAGUUUAUAAAAAGUCUAUAUUAAUUAUAUUCUCUACUAAAUUUCUUAAGGUCGUUCAGAGUAAUAACUAUUUCACGUUAACGAAUCUUCAAACGAUUCAUUAGGUAACUUACAGAACUCGUUAGAAAAAGUAAGCAACAUUUUAUAACUCAGAAAAUAAUCUAGUAUUUGAUUAAUUUACUAACUUUUAUGUUUCGCGAAAAUCUGACAAUUUUGUGAAAAACUAUCGAAUCGCAACACCCGGGAAACCACUGUAAACCGUACUUUCAAACGUUUUGUUCCCAUAAAUGCGGGACUCAUUAGGUGGAUAUUUUUACAUGUUACGACUCAGUUUAUCGACUACUACAAACCUGUAUGCUAGGAAUUUUUUUAAGGAAGUUGAAUUUCGGACACAAAAUCGAGGCCCAACAUCACGCGACAAAUCACAUUUAUCUUCGUUUCAUAUUUUAUGAAACAUAUUUGUACUAUGUCGAACGUUAAACUUCCAAAAAUCAUAAGUUCUACAUAUAACGUCAGAUUUUGGUGUUUAUACUCACAAGUUCGUAAUCAUGACUACUACAUCUUUUGUCAAGAUUAUUUAUUGUAGAUAAUCUUCUAUUUAUAAAUGUUUAUGUAACGAAAAUUGUUUAAGUAUAAAAUAAGCUUUUAUAAAAAAUAUUUAUACCCACAACAUUUUCACCCACUUAGGAUAAUUUCCUCCCCAAAAUCACAAACUCAGUGAAUAUAUGCGGUCCCUGCCACUCAGCUUUCCCAUGUAAGAAUUGGCUAUGUAAUGGCCCUCACAGUACUAAAUCAACCAAUUUACUUGUUUUAUACUUGAAAUAAUACUUUAGUUCCUUUACAACACCUUAUCAGCUUGUUGAUGUAGCUCCAUUAUUGACACAUCAACUUUGUUCAUUACAGUUUCACUAUAAAUAUGCGACUUUAUUAUGCUAAAUUCUCACACUCUUAUCCAAUGACAACAUUUGCAAACUUUACUAUUUCAUGUCGCUUUCGGGUUUCGACUUUGUCGGGUUACAACUGUCUUCACAUUAUCACUAAUAGAAGUAUUUUGAAGAUAAUCCAAGAAUAAUCUUGAAUAAAAAAUCUUUACUUAUUUAUGAUACAGAGUCUAUGAAAACAUUCUUUGUAGACCAUUUCUCUACAUAUGUGAUGCCCAGAAAGGUAUACCUUUAUCAAUUGGUCAACUACAACCUAUAACACAUUAUGGUCCUACAUAAUCAUGGGAUACUUGAUGAUAAGAUCGAUGAUAAAAUCGUCCACUCUUACCCAUAGGUACAGGUAAAGGUUUCAAGUUCCUCAUGAUAUUUGAUGUCAUUUUCUCACUUGCCAUCCAAAACACCUAUUUUAUAACAGCACCAAAACUAAUAACUCUCCCUUAGCUUAUUGUGUUGUGACUUUUGUGGACCUUGACAUCAAAACAUAAUUCAAGUUGCCUUUAACACUUUUGCCUUGAUGGUUGGUUCUACCUUACUUUGGUUCGAACCCUCACCUUCUACUACUUACAAUCGAUCAAAGACCAAACUGGCUCUGCCUAUGUGAUUUGUAGCUACCUUUCUUCUUGGAAGAAACUCGUAAUUGUCAUAUCAAUGAAUUUGACGUCCCUAAUGUAGUAUUAAUACUUGUGCAUACAGUGAGUGAUCUUUCCCACAUAACACGACCACAAAGCAAUCAAGAUCAUGAGAAGUACAAAGUCUUCCUCGAACGCACAUGUAUACAAAAUGUUAUAAUAGGAUACGAGUUAAUGUAUUGGAAAUUACAAGAAAUAACCACGGUUGUUGAACUUAAUAUUAUCCUCUCCUCUUCUUUGGAAAAAUCAUCCUUGUUGCACUCUAACUGAUUCUCUGGUAAUGAUCCUCCCGACCAUGUCUGAAGCAUUUGUGUGCAAACAUACAAAAGAAAAUCGUAUGCACUUUCAUGUACUAGCUACAAUGAUUGUAGCUCCCCUAGCAUGCUAAUUGAGAACCAAUAGGAUAUAAUCUAUUUUUCUAUGGUGGUGCUUGAACCUUGUCACACCCACAAACCAAGGAUGGCGGAAACGUCCGGGGGUGGAUGACUUCAUGUAGAGUAUCACAACAACGAGUAUAAUAGUGCUCAAAGUAAAUACAACCAUCAUAAAUAUAAUUGAAAAAGUUACACCAAAGUAUAUGUUUACAUGAUUCGAAUCAAUUACAUUAUGAAACAAAAUGAACUGUUUGACGAUUUAUCGUCCCAUCCUCAAAACGUUGUUGAUUUCCUGUUUUCACUGAAUUCCUGAGAAUACAAGUAGUUUUGAAAAGUGUCAACACAAAGGUUGGUGAGUUAAUAAGCCUUUGACAGUAAGAGUUUAAAAAUCGGUCUUUGUAAAGAGAUGUAUGUUGCCAAGAAAAAUCCAAUAUUUUCCUUAUAAAAGUUAUGUGGUCCUAAAUGCCAGUACCGAAAAAGUACAAGUAUUUGUCAUACUUAAAGAUAUAAAAGUGGUUUCAAAUUGGCGUAAAACCCUUUCUGAUUUGAGAAAAACUCUCGUAAUGAAUGGUGUGUAGUCUUAAAUACUAAGACUGAAAAUAUACAGCGAUAUUUGUAAUUGAUAUAAAAAGUGAUUUUAAAUGAACAUAAAACCCUUUUUAAUAUGAAGACGUACAAGUAUUUUUUCCUUACUUAAAGUAAUUUCAGUGAGCUAAAUAGACAUAACUCGCUAAUUUAAAGUUAGAACCCGUAAAUCUUAUGAUUGUUAAUACCACAUGUGAGCUAUCAUAACCAUACUUGACAUAGACGGCCUCGUAAUACGACGUUCUUCAGGCGUCGCCGUUAAAUGACACUUGUCACCACAGACCUGCCGGUCUAGCUGUUGCAAGCAGCUCUGGUGUGGGUUUGUCAAACCCAAUAUAGAUCUAUACACAACUAUCACGUUCUCCCUACAAGAGACUCUGGUUACAAUUUACAGGACUUUUUGACUUUGUUACUUUGGAAGUAACCCGAAGGGAAUGACUCACAAAUUUAUUCAUUAACAGAUUUACGUGAACUAAACUGAAAACCUUUGGUAAAUAAGUUUGAGAAGUAAAUGAUACAUAAACUAUACCUAUUAUAGUUUAUCCAAAACGUUUGUAAUGUAUAAUAACUCUUUUAUGAAACGCAUUUGUGCUAUGAAUCCAUAAACUAUGCUCAUUAUAGCUUAAUAUAUGUGUUCUAAAUGAAUGAGUAAUGUUAUCAUGAAUGACUAAGUUUCAGUUUAUGAUGAUAAACUAACAAGGAAACACAUUCGAUAUUUAGAACUUAUUGUUAUACACUUUGCUCAACAUAAUACAAAGUGUUAUGAAAUUUAUAUGCUGUUAACUAAAUUUAACCUUUCUGCGCUGUUUUAGAAAAGUCAUAGAAAAAUCAUACGAAGUCGAAAACUAAAUCCGUAAAUUCUGAGAGUUCCCAAAAUGUGUCUAGUUUACUCAUAAUUUUUAUCAUGAUUUUUAAUGACCUCCAACUUGGGUGAAAAAGUCCAUAAUCACAGAAUUGUCCGGAUUGGUGUUUGAAAUGAUAGGCAGUUUUGUAAAAAUCACCAUAAAUUGUAGAAAAAUCGUAUGGAGAUGUGCAAGUAGUCAUUUUAAAGCUAAGAACUAGAACUACUUACACCUAAAACAGUUUUUNCCCUAAAAACUUGAGAAAAUAUGAAAAUGUUGGGGUAUGAACUCACUUUGAGUGAUUUCAGAAGAUGAGUGUUGAAGAAGAGAAGUGUUCACCCCAGGAACACUUGAAGAUUCGAAGAUCUAACACAAUUAUGAUGGAGUUAUGAAAAUGUUGGGGUAUGAACUCACUUUGAGUGAUUUCAGAAGAUGAGUGUUGAAGAAGAGAAGUGUUCACCCCAGGAACACUUGAAGAUUCGAAGAUCUAACACAAUUAUGAUGGAGUUUGUGUAAGAUAUCCAUGAUUUGAGUAGAAAGAAGUGAAAUAAUCAUAAGGAGAAUGGAUUUUGCUUACCAAAUGUGGAGGAAAAACCCAAGAUCAGCCCUUGAAUCUCGAAUUCUAGAGAGAGGAAGUGAGAGAGAAAAGAGUUUGAUCUUUUUGGUGAAAAGAGAGAAAAUGAGAGAAGUGAGGAGAGAGGAGAGUUUUCUUACCCUUGACCAAGUGUAUGGCUGAAAAAGGGUGGGAAAGUACCAUGAAAUGACUAGGUNACAUUGAAGUGACCUAGGUAAGGUGGGGAGGUGUGGCUGGUCAUAGAGUGGGUGUGGGAGUGGUUGUUUGUGUCAUAAGGUAAAGCUAAGUAAACACUCUACCUUUGUACUUCACCUACUCUCUUGUGGAUAAGGUUUUAUCCUUAAAACGUGAUUAAUUAAUAAUUAAGGGUCCUUAUAUGUUAAAAUAAAGUUUUGGGUGAAAAUCCCGUGUUAAAACAAUUAAAAACGGGCCUAAAACGCAAAAUUAGUCGAAAACCGGGAGAAAANNNNNNNNNNNNNNNNNNNNNNNNNNNNNNNNNNNNNNNNNNNNNNNNNNNNNNNNNNNNNNNNNNNNNNNNNNNNNNNNNNNNNNNNNNNNNNNNNNNNNNNNNNNNNNNNNNNNNNNNNNNNNNNNNNNNNNNNNNNNNNNNNNNNNNNNNNNNNNNNNNNNNNNNNNNNNNNNNNNNNNNNNNNNNNNNNNNNNNNNNNNNNNNNNNNNNNNNNNNNNNNNNNNNNNNNNNNNNNNNNNNNNNNNNNNNNNNNNNNNNNNNNNNNNNNNNNNNNNNNNNNNNNNNNNNNNNNNNNNNNNNNNNNNNNNNNNNNNNNNNNNNNNNNNNNNNNNNNNNNNNNNNNNNNNNNNNNNNNNNNNNNNNNNNNNNNNNNNNNNNNNNNNNNNNNNNNNNNNNNNNNNNNNNNNNNNNNNNNNNNNNNNNNNNNNNNNNGAGUGAAAACGAUUGAGAGCGGUUUUGUGUGUGACGAAUGUGAGUGUCCGGCUUCGCAAUGCAAGGUCUGUAAACCCCGUUAAGCCUUGUUUAAGGAUCUUGCAUACUCCCGAUGAGUAUGCAACAUUGUUUUAUCGGUUUGGCUCGCCACGUACCACAGUUUUAGGUUAAGGAGAUCUAGAUAUAUGCACUUUUCGAUUUAUGAUCUCUCAUUAGAAUAGCGAGUUGUUUAGAAAUUACAUAACGUAAACUCUAGUACCUACGGGCAAAUCGACUUGACCGGUAUGACUUGUUGACUUUAGUUGACUUUGACUUGACCGAAAAUUGACGGUUGUCACAAACCUGUACCAAUUCUUUCUUUUAGAUUAGGUGUCUAAGUUCAUAACUAUUUCUGGUAUGUACUUGACCUGGUUGGCAUGGUCCAUUUGGGUUGCAUGGCAUCAAGACACUUGGAUAGACAAAAUGAGAAAAGGACACUUAUGGUUUAUUAAUAUAUUAUAAGUUCUAAUAUAUUAAUAAUAUUAUUUAAUUAGUAUUGAUCAAGAAAUAAUUUGGUGAUGAAAAAGAGACUAAUUAAAUAUAUGGGGUUGAUUGUGUAAAUCAUCCAUUCUUAUAUAGUGGGCUAAUGAUCCAUGGUUUAUUGAAUUGGGCUAAAACCCAUAGGGUGCUCCAUGGAUAGUCCAUGGAGGUUAAAAACCAUGGAUCAUUGAGUAAAUGAAAAUCCAUAUCAAUUAGGGUUUACAUGGUGUAAACCUACUUGUGACACAACUAUAAAAGAACCCUAUGGGCUACCAAAAUCGACACUAAGUGUAGAACAAGAAGGCUAGCCGAUUUUGAGUGUGUGUAUAGUUCUCUCAAAGUUAUUCCAAGACUUGUGGUGUUGUGUGAAACACUUGAGGCAUCACAUUUGGGGUGCUAGGUCACAAAGUUCUUAAGGAAUCCAAGCAACAAGAAAGGUAUGUUCUUUUACUAGCUUUUAUUUUUCAAGUUCCCCAUGCCAUGCUAGUUAGGUUAAGAACCUUGGAAAAAUAAAAUUUGCAUGUAUCCUAGUAAAACAUAGAUCCAAGGUUUCUAGGGUUGCAUUUACACCGUAGGAGUGUUAGAAUGCUCAAAACCCUUCAAUGGUAUCAGAGCCUAGGCUUGUUUUCUUGAUACUUGAUGCAAAUUGUUGUAGAAACUAAAAUUCUUUGCAUUGUGCUGAGUGAACUCACCGAGUCCAUGGGGGGACUAAACAAGUCCAUGCAUAUAUUCAUCCUACUCGUCGAGUAUGUUCAUGCACUCGACGAGUAAGAGGCCCAGAGUACGGUUUUUCGAGUUUUGCCACUGGAAAUGGACUAGAAUCAUUACACUUAACUGUUUUAGACUUAUAAAACCUAUUUUUGAUGUGGUAAUGAUUAUGCUAAUCCAUUUACAAUGGUGAUUAUCAAAAUUUCCAGUUUUAUAUGUGUUUUUAUGAUUCUAGAAAUUGUUGAUAUGAAUGUUCAUGCACUUAUGAGUUUGGUAUAUCAUAGGAAUUAUUUGCAAAUUGUUUGUUAGUUUAAUUCUUGAUCUAAAUGUUUUUAAUGGAAUCUAUAAUUUGUCCUCAAGUUAUGGAUUCCCAAAAGUCUUUCUUUUAAAGUCCAUUAAAGAACACAUAAGUUACAUAAAAUGAAGAGUCUUUAUUUUAAUAAACCAUUAACUCAUAAGUUAUGAAGUUGAAAAGUUUUGAAUAGUUACAAAACUUGCCCUCAAGUUUUGGAACAUGUAAAGUCACUUUAGAAAACUUUAGUUCCAACCCCUAGAAUUUUAAAAGUUAAAGAUCAACCCUUAUACUUUAUAAGAUUAUAAGUUUAUAUAUAUAUAUAUAUAUAUAUAUAAGAACAAGUCAUUUUACCGUUAGUAGGCCUCAUUCACGAAGCCGAUCUAUAAGUGGGUAUAAGGUUGUUGCCUAUAAAAUGGCAACUUAAUGGGUGUCCACUCUCACCAACCGCUUCCUUAAAUGGUAGAGGGUCGUUAGCCGAACGGGUAGGACAAUUACUUUAAUCCUCAUUAAAAGUAUAAUGAUUAUAAAGUAACUAAAUGUUUCAUAAAUUCCCAAUCUUAGUUUCUUUAGGAAAAUGUGAAUUUGGUGCUAACCCAUGACUUAAGGUUUAUCAUAGAUCGGUGGAGCGCGUGUGGUUAACAGGCACAUCGAUUAGGUGAUAAACAUUAAGAAUACCUAGUAAUUUGCAUGGUUAUUCACACCUUGUUUUGUGAUCCUUGGUAUCCCAGUCACAAAACUUGAAGGGCACAAUCGAGAUUGAAACAUGCCAUUGAAAAGUUAUGUAACACCCUGCUUUUAUAUGUGUCAGUGGUAUUGGGCUUCUCGUUGCCCUCGCAUGAAUGUGAAGUAAUUUGGGAGCGGGUUUAGAUUAGAAGAGUUGAGGUGUUGUGAAGUUGAAUGUUGUUCAUAGCCCUUUUGUGUAAUGAGAAGGAGAUGGCCCCAUGCAUGCAUGGAAUGCAUGAAAGAUGUUGUCUUUAAGAGGUGGUUGGGUACGCCCAGCGUAAGCUGGACGUACGCCCAGCGUAAGAGUAGGAAUGAUGCGCGUUGGCCGAGUGAGUACGCCCCGCGUACCAGGGAGGUACGCCUUGCAUACUCACAGAAAUCCCUAACCCUAUUUUUAGGGUCAGCCACUAUAUAAGGAAUAAGAUGGUUCACCCCUCAGCCUCCUUACACUCAUCUUCAACCUCAGAGAAACCCUAAAUCUCGUAUUUCCUCCAUAUUUGAGUGUGUUUGAUCUUGGAAAGCUCUUAUUGGCAAAAGAAAGGCUUGAAGGAGAAAAGGGAAGUUGUCAAGGAAGGAGAGGGACGAUUGGAGCUUGUAGAUCUGAAGAGAUACCAUCCUUUGGAGCUUGUCUGAGGUAUAAAGCUUCUUGCUUGACCUUCAUAUUGUAUAGAUCUAUGUAUUUUGAAGCUUUGUCCCCAUUCUUGUCCCAAAAGUCUUCAUCUUGUUGCAUAGUCCGAUUUGGUCAAGUGUAGCUGUCCUUUUAGACCUUUGGAGAGGUCUUGAGUGAUAAAAAUGAGGUCCCAAGGGCUGUAGUUAUUUCAUGUAUGAGUUAUGUGGGUCUUAAUGGAUUAAGACCUUGGAUUAAGAGCUUAAUGACGUCCCAAGUGAUAAAGUCUGAGACUUUAUGAGUUCCAAUCAUGUUUGGCCUAUGGAUCUGGAGUUUGGGCUUAAGAGCUUAAGCCAUUAAGCCAUUAUGUGGAUUUGUUGAGCAUAAGGGUUACGCCCCGCGUAGCCUUAUGCCCCGUUUCCCCUUGCGAGUCGUUGCUGUACGCGCCGCGUACCAAGGAGGGUACGCCCAGCGUACUCCUCCUGUUGGAAUUUCAUAUUUGGGCUUCGAGUUUGGGCCGUUAGUGGAUAGUUGGGUGUUGGGCCAAGUCUGUGAAUUUAUGGACAGAGUGUUUUGGGCCCAAUUAUUGUUAUGGACCUUGGUUCUAGGCCCAUUUGGGGAAGUGGGCCCAAUUUGGUAAAUUGGGCCAAUGUUGGACUUAGAAUGAGGAUUUGGAUUUUGGUCUUGGUCCGAUAUGUGGAAGCAUGCUUGACCUAAUGUUUAAUUGUUAUGAUGGUUAGUUCGGGAUUUGCGGUGAGUUGGUGGUUCGAGAGUCUGCUUCUUCAGUUUAGAGUAUCGGCAUUCGCGAGGUGAGUCUUCUCACUGUUUGUAUGGGUCUAGGGAACCAAUGCCGGCCCAUUUAGAAUAUGCAUGAAAGACCAGGGGGCGGCUCCUGGCACACAGUAUGUUACCUUGUAUGGUAGGAAGGCCCGGGGGUUAGCCCUAGGCAAUAUGUAUGAAAGACCGGGAGGUGGCUCCUGGCGCAUUGUAUGCUAUAGAUAUGAAAGACCAGGAGGUGGCUUCUGGCACACUGUAUGUUGUUUAGCUAAGUAGAGUAGUAUGUACGGUUGUCUGUGUGAUACUUGCAUAGAAGACCAAGGGGUGGCCCUUGGCACGUGUCUGUAAGACCAGGGGGUGGCCCUUGGCAUUAUUCUGUAAGACCAGGGGGUGGCCCUUGGCACACGUCUGUAAGACCAGGGGGUAGCCCUUGGCACUUGUCUGUAAGACCCAGGGAGUGGCCCAGGCUUGACCAGGAAGACCACGUGUGGCCCGUGGCAUAAUGGCAAGACUAUGUUUGGCACAUAGCACCUUACUUGGUUAUGGAUAAGUCAGUUAUGUAUGGUUCUUGGCUAUGAAUGGUUUGUAUGGUAUGUGGUAUCUGAGGAACUCACUAAGCUUCGUGCUUACGACUUUUAGUUUUGGUUUUAGGUACUUCCGGUAGCGGAUGAUGGAGCUCAGGAUGAUCGCAUGGCACACACCAUAGAAUAGUCAGCCUGGGAAUGUUUUACUCUGAUAAUAAACAUGUGUUUUGGAAACUAAUACUCUGUUUAUGUUUUGAAAUGAUGAUUUUACUUGAAGUGAUACUUUAUUAAAAGAAAAUUUUAGUCUUGAAUUUUGGGAGGUUACAAGUUGGUAUCAGAGCCUUGGUUUGAGGGAUUCGGGCAUACUCUCGGGUGUGCCUGAACUCAAACUGAGGGGUCGGAUAAAGAGUUUUCAAAAAUGAAAAGACAGUUUUGUAAAAAGAAUUUUGAGAACGAAAAACAGUUUUAGAAAAGCAAAAAGAAUUCAGAAAGAAAAGAACUUUGAAAAGAGAAAAGAGGUGUGGUGCAUGCAAUCAACCGAGCUCAAGUAAGUACCCCAAAUUACCCAUACAAGUUUAUGUUAUGCUUAUCAGUUGAUAAAACAGCAUGCUAGAAUAGGACUAAGGAUCUAGGGAUGAUGCCUUAUGUGCCUGUUAUUUGUGCUUUUGAGCUGCAUGAUAGUGCUGAUUAGAUAGUAGUAGGAUAGCCUGUUUAGGUUAUGCCUGAGUUUAUGAGUUUGUGUUGCAUGCUAGUUCAGAUUCUUGCUAUGUGGAUAUGAUUGCUUGAGUAUGUUAUGGUUAG